UUUUUGGAUGGAAUCAACAUGACUUCUGUUAAUGCUCAUGUCUUCAUGAAUCUAUCCUCUUCUCUAAGGUCUCUCAGUCUUGCUUUUUGUGAUUUGCAAGGAAAAUUCCCAAAAAACAUUUUUGAUUUGCAAAACCUCAAUCUCCUCAACUUGAGAUACAACCAAUUGAGUGGACAAAUUCCAAGAUCAUUGGGGAACCUCUUGCAACUCACUCAUUUACACUUGUCGGGGAACCAAUUGAGUGGACAAAUUCCAUUGUCAAUUCUAAACCUAACGCAGUUGGAAUACUUGGAAAUAUCUGAAAAUUCUUUAGAAGGUUCCAUUCCAGAUGAGGUAACCGCUUUUCCUAAUCUAAUAUAUUUAUACUUAUCUGACAAUUUACUCAAUGGAACACUUCCGUCAUGGUUGUAUACUGCUCCCUGCUUAAAGGAAAUAUAUCUCUCUCAAAAUCAAUUCAGUGGGCAUAUCAAAGAAUUCCAAACCAAAUCACUAGAAUAUUUAUAUCUAGAAAAUAAUAAACUCCAAGGUCCCCUUCCAUCUUCAAUAUUCCAACUUCUCAAUCUUACCGGGCUCCUUUUAUCCUCAAAUAAUCUUAGUGGUGUCAUAGAGUUGAGCAUGUUCUCAAACCUUCCAAAUCUCAAAUAUCUUGACCUUUCAUAUAACAGCCUAUCCUUAAUAUCUAAUACUACUUCUACUGUUAAUCAUAUAUUGCCUAAUCUUACAGGCUUACAUUUGUCAUCUUGCAAUCUUAGUGAAUUCCCCCAGUUUUUAAAAGGGCUUAAAAGUUUGGAAAGCUUAGACCUCUCUUGCAACAAAAUUGAAGGCAAGAUUCCACAGUGGAUGCAAGAGGUGGGGAAUGUCUCUUUGACUUACUUCAACGUAUCUCACAACUCUUUGACAGAAGUUGAGCACUUUCCAUGGAAGAAUAUUGAAAGUCUUGACUUAAGCUCCAAUUUGAUCAGUGGAAAUCUUCCGAUUCCAGCUUCGACCAUCAAUGUCUUUCUGAUCUCAAAUAAUAGUUUCAAUGGAGAGGUCUCUUCUUUAAUCUGCAAUGCCAGUGAUCUUGAAAUUCUUGAUUUGUCCCACAAUAACUUGAGUGGAACAAUUCCGCAAUGUUUUGGAAAUUUGAGCAACAGCCUUGAAUUCUUGAAUCUGAAGAAGAACAAGUUCUAUGGGACGAUUCCUCCAAAAUUUGCAAAGGGAUGCCGAUUGACUAAUUUCAACUUAAAUGGAAAUCUGUUAGAAGGGCCAUUGACUCCAUCCAUCCUUAAUUGUAGGGGUCUGGAAGUGCUAGAUCUUGGUAACAACAAGAUCAAUGAUACAUUUCCUCAUUGGUUGGGAAGUCUUCCACAGCUACAAGUUCUUGUAUUGAAGUCAAAUCAUAUGCAUGGUUCCUUAUGUGUCAAUAGCUCCAAGUCUAGCCCUUUUUUCUCUAAAAUCCAAAUUUUUGAUCUCUCAAGUAAUUAUUUUUCUGGACCCCUACCAGUGAGAUACAUCAACAGCUUCAAGGCUAUCAUAAAUCUAGAGAAGAUUGGUAGUACAGUGUCGUACAUGGGGGUGAAUGAUGGCUUCUAUACCUAUUCCAUUGGAAUUGUUAUAAAAGGACAAUAUAUGGAAUUGGUGAAAAUUUUCACCAUGUGGAUGAUCAUUGAUCUAUCAAACAAUCAGUUUGAAGGGGGUAUUCCAGAGGUUUUUGGGAAGCUUAACUUACUGAAAGGGCUCAACCUUUCUCAUAAUAACCUUAAUGGUGGUAUCCCCACCUUAAUAGGGAAUUUGACAAGUCUUGAAUGGUUGGACCUAUCUUCAAACAGGUUGUCUGGGACGAUUCCAAAUAGAUUGGCAGAUCUGCCAUUUCUUUCGUCCUUCAAUGUUUCUGAAAAUCAACUCCAUGGUCAGAUUCCUCAAGGCAAACAGUUCAACACAUUUGGAAAUGAUUCAUAUGAAGGAAACAAGGCAUUAUGUGGAUUUCCGGUCUCAAAAGGUUGCAACAUCAUUGAGCCAGCACCUCCAAAUGUGCUUGAAAAAGAUGGCUCAAAAUCAAACAUUACUUUUGGUUGGAAAGUGGUGUUGAUAGGUUAUGGAUGCGGAGUGGUGUUCGGAAUGUCCGUGGGAUAUGUUGUUUUCCAAACUGGUAAGCCGAAAUGGUUGGUGAAUUUGGUUGAAAUCCAACAUGAGAAGAAGCGAAGAAGAAAGUCAAAGGAUGGCAGUCGCAGCAAUGGACGAAGAAGAAUCUAGUUAGUGGAAAUGAUGUUCAAGUGUUGAUGUUGUAUCUUCAUAAUUUCUUGUUUUGAAGUCUGUCAAAUUUUUUUCCUAUCGUGAAAGGCUGCAUUGCCAUGCAUCUGUCUUUUUUAUUGUAACCAUUCAUCUAUAUUUCAUUGCAUUACGUAGUAUUUGUAAGGGUUUGUUUUAAAUGUAACAUUUUGUAUGGUUCAACUAUUUAUGUCUCUUUCAUGAGUUUCAUUUUUGAGUCUCAAUAAUCUCUGCAUUCAAGAUUUUGUCAGCUUAUUAAUUGGUGGAUCAAUAAUCUUCAUGCUCAUCUCAUCAUCUUUUUCUCGAGUUAAACACAGUCACUACUAUAAUAAUUUCUUCUGUGUGGAAAAUAAUUUGGCAUUCUGCAAAUUUCCACAAUGCUUGUGGAUUACCUCUGGUUGACGGCUAUACAUAUAAAGGAAGGAAACAAGACUAUGUCAAAAUUUCCAAAAAUCAGUCAUUCAUUUUUGAACAAUUAAACAUUCGUAUUCUAUUUUUCAAAAUUGUAAAUCCUCAAAUAAUGUAAAUUAGUCCUAAAACUCAAGUUUUGAAAUCUUUACAAUUUAACCCCUUAUAGUUUCAAACUUUACUAUUUUAUGCUCAACUUUCUAAAUCUUCAUAUUUCAUGAUCAUAUAAUUUAGUUAUUACAUCAAUAUUUCAGAUUUCACUACUCAAACCCUUACUUCAUUUUGGUCCUUACUUCAAUUUUAUCAAAUUAAAUCAUUUUUCAAUUUGAAUGCAUUGAUGUGAAAUUAAGGGACCACUAAACAAUGUUGAUGCGAGUUUAGGCAAAAUUGGUGGAUCCCAUCUCCACAGCAAUUUCUUUAUGGAAGUACUUGCUUUCACACUGCAAACUUGGAUAGUUUGUGGUGGACGAUGAUGAAUCAUUUCACAAUCAAACACACCAUUUUUAAACACAUAUAUUGAAAUCAUUAUUAAAAUUAUAAUCAAAAUUAAUACAAGUUCUUUUUAUUAGCUUAAGGGCGUAAAAACUCUUCAAAAUUUUCCAAAUAAAAAAUAAAAAAUUUAAGUCCCUCUUUUUUUUUUACACUCAAUUGAGUACUUAAACUUUUAAAAUGUAUCAAAAAUAUCUUAACACUUCUUCAAAAAAAGCAAUUAAACCCCCUUUUUUUUCCGCUCAAUUGGGUACUUGAAUUUUCAUAAUGCAUCAAAAAUACCUUAAUUUUUUUUUCAAAGAAACAAUUAAGCCUCUAUUUUUUUCCUACUCAACUAGGUACUUGAACUGUCAAAAAAACAAUUAAGCACCUACUCUUAUUAAAAAUUAGAAAAAAAAUCAUAAAAAUAAGAAAAAUUUAGAAAAAAUUAUUAAAUUUUAAUAAAAAUUUAAAAACUUAUUAAAAAUUAGAAAAAAUUUUAGAAAAAUUGUCAAAAAAUAAAAAAUUAUAAAAUUUUAUAAUUAAGCACUCUUAAAAUUUUGAAAAUUCUCAUUAAUCUCACACAAAUUUAAAAUUUUUUAUUAGACCCCCAAUUUUUUUUAAAAAUGUUAUUAAACCCUUAAAUUUUUAGAAAAUUUUACCUGCCCCCUCCCAAAAAAAAAACUAGUCCCAACUCUUAGGAUCCGCCAUUGGUACUUGGUAUUAACACUAUUAGAAAAUUGCUAAAUCAACCAAUGAAAAUUUGACACAUGGAACCCUUUUUUUAAAUUAUCAAGUUACGGAUGUUCUUCAAGGGCAUGGAACUCAACUUGAAAAUUUUACUAAUUUGGUUGCAAAAAACAUUGAGGAAGCAUAUAAUGAUCUAACCCUUUUUUGUUUUGUUCUGUUUUUAAUUUGUUAUGGGAUUCUAUUGAAUGAUAAUUUUUUUUAUUUCCCAUACUUGGUUCUUCAACAACAACAUAUUCGAGAUUUUAUUUUUCUAGAAUUUUUAUAUAAAAGUUUGUAUUUUUUAAAAUAAUUUUGAGUUUUUUAUAAUUUUUAUAUAGAAUCGAGGUAAAUUGGCAAAAAAUUAUAAAAAACAAAAUACUAAAAUUGUUUAGUUAAGUGACCAAAGCGAAGAUCUACCCAUAGUUCAGUGGCUAAUUAUGUAGUUUACCCUUUCAUAAUUAAAAAAAUAGUUGUUCAGUUUUUCUUGUAUUAGAUAACAUUUUAGAUGGUAAAAACCCUCUUUAGUCCCUCUCAAUUUUGAUAUUAAGUAAAUUGGUCCAUUUUUUUUUAAAAAAAUCAAAGCAAUUUAAUCUUUGUUAAUUUCGAAAGUGAGCAACUAAGGACAAUUAAUCACAAUGUCAAUAUUUUCCAUCAAUUGUACAUAUUUUUAUUGGUAUAAUAACAAAUUUAGCUCUCCAAGUUUACACAUUCUAUCAAUUUGUUUUGAUUUAACAAAUUUAGCCCGCAACAGUUACAUAUUCUAUUAACAUUUACACAUAAUAUAUAAACAUCGAGAGCUUAAUUUGUUAUUAUAUAAAUAAAAUUAUGUACAAUUUACAGAAAGCAUUAACACAAUAAUUAAUUGUCCUUAGUUGCUCCAUUUCAAAAUUGAUAAUGAUUAAAUUGCUCUAAUUUUCUGAGAGAAACCAAUUUCUUCAAUAUAGAAAUUGAGAGGGACGAGAAAUGUGUUUUUAUCCAUUUUAGAUACUAACAAGUGUUUGGCGUAGUGGCAAGGCAUAUUACAUUCUCAAGGAGAGAAUGCGUAUUCAAACGUUGGAGAUAAUAAUAUUGUGUGGGGUAUCCACGGAUCUCGAACACAGACUGUAAAACAUAUAUAAAAAAUAAAAAGAAUAACAUCUUAAUUUAAAUAAUUAAUAAAUUUUAAUUUCAAAAAAGUAUUUUGAGAAACAUAGGUUUUAGUAAAUAGUAAAAUUGAAUCGAUAAAACAUGUCCAGUAUAUCAGAAUCAUAAAAAUACAACUUAAUUAAUUUGAAUUUAAACUUAACUCGACUCAAUUUGAUUAUAAAAAACUGAUAAUUUGAAUCCAAAAUGACAUGAUCUUGAAAUGAUUUGAAUUAAUUGUCAAACCCAAACGACAAAACUCGAAAUGAUGCAAUCCAAAAACACAAGUCAAAUGAACUAAACUAUGAAAGAAAAAAAAAACCUUACACCGACUCAAAUCCAAAAUAAUUUAAUCCUAAAAUAACCCAAAUUUUAUAUAAUAUAAACUCGAAAUAACCCGAUAAUUUUUUUCAGUCUUACUGUGUUUAUCUUUAUAAGUAUUCUUGUUUUCCUUGCCCAUACAUGUAUUGUAGUUAUCAAAAAAUAUAUUCUACUUUGGAUUUUAUUUAUAUUAAAUUUUAGGUUAAAUUCCGCUAUUACUCUCUGUACUUUAUGAAAAUGAUGGAUUUAAUCAUUGUACGUUAAUUUAAUCAAUUUUAGUCUUUGUAUUUUUUGAAUUGGUCAAUUUUAAACCAUUUACUUUUUGAAUUUUGAAAUUUUAGUCUUGAUUCAAAUAAUAUUAAUAAUAAUAAAAUCUGCUUAUUUAAAUUUAAUUAUUAGUUUUGUACUAUGUAGACAAUUAUAGAUUUAAUCCAUAUUUUUCAAUUGGGUCAUUCCAAGUCUUUAUACUUUUCAAAUUUUAAAAUUUCAAUAUUGAUGCAGAAUGCGAGUUGCUAUUAAUUAAUUGAUUUUUUUAGCCAAUGCAUGUAGAAAUAAUAAGUUGUUAUGUCAUUAUACUUAAAAUAAUAUAUUGGUUUAACCCGCUUAAAUUAUGUCUUUUUUUCCAUCUUGGGACCUAAAUUUUUUUGGGGUCAUAAGUGGUACCUAAACUACUUUUUUUUCUCCUUCAAAUUAGGGCUCCUUUGGAUCACCAGCAAGUUUCAGUGUGGUGAGAUUUAAAGAGUAAAAAAAAUUUGAACUGAAACGCAGCUCUAUUUGGGGUGUUUGGCAAGCACACCAGUAAGCAUUUUUCACCUCACUGUAACCCAAAAUAUUGGCUGGAGUUAAAAGCUUCAGUGGACUGAUUUGGAAGUCCAAAAAUAAGAGUAAUUAUUAUUUUACCCCUCCAAUUCUUCCUUUAUUAUUUAUUUUAUUUAAAACAGAUAACAUAAGUUUAAUAUGUCAUUAUUUAAUAUUAUUUAAUUUACAAUAAAAUUAUAAUUUUUAUUUAUAAAUUUAGUAUAAAUACAAUUUAAUUUAUAUUUUAUUAUUUGAUUCAAAUAUAAUCUGUAAAAAUAUUUUGAUAUUUUAUUAUGAAUAUAAUUUAAAAAUAUUUUAUUGUAUAUUUAAAAUAUUUUGAUAUUUUAUUAUGAAUAUAAUCUGUAAAAUAUUUUGAUAUUUUUGAAUUUUUCUCUAGUUUUAAUUUAUUUUUAAUUAUUUAUUAUUAAAAAUAAAUAUAAUUGUAAUAAUUUUUAAUUAUUUAUUAAUUUUGUAAUUGUUAAAUAAUUUUAAAAACUUCUAUUAUAUAUAUUUUUAAUCUAAUGUCCUUAAAAGUCAUUUUCUAUUUUCACCUCACCGCUACAACUGCGUUUGAAUCCAAACACACACUCCACCGCUGUUUCUAAUCUCACCGCUACAGUAUCCAAUCUCACCGCUACAGUACCUAAUCUCACCGCCACCGCUGUUUUUAACCUUACCGGAACUAAACACACCGCCCAUCCAAACCCACCCUUAGUAUAUUCAUUAGUUAAACUGUUAAGUCUAUUUAAAAAAGAAAGACUCGGACAACAAAUUAAUACUUAAACAAUGCUCUUUUUCCCAAGGUACCUAAUUUUUAUUUUGGCCAUGAGUAUUACUAAAACUAUUAUUCCAUUACUCAUUUUACACCAAAAUGUUAUAUCGGCUGAAAAGAUUCCAACAAAUAAUAGAUUGUAUGUCAUAUAAACUUUUAAAAAUAAUUAUUAAUUAAUUUUUUUCAUAUAAACUGAACGGUUUGACUAAUGACGGAGGUACCAAAUUAUAGUCUAGGUACCAAUUUAUGGGUUAAGCCUAUUUCUAAAAUAGACUUUUGACUAAUGGCGGUAGUAACUUGGGAAAAAAAAGUAGUUUAUGUACCACUUGUGAACAAAAAUAAGUUUAGGUACCAACAUCGUAAAAUGAGUAUAAUUUAGAUACCGAUUUAUGAGUUAAGCCUAAUAUAUUUGUUGCAUCAUUUUUUUGAAAAUAACAGAACUUAAUAAAUUUAACGGUUAUUUUUUGGUGAUGACUAAAAUUUUAAAAUUUGAAAAGUACAUGAACUAAAAAUGACCAAAUUAAAGUAUAAAGAUUAAGUCCACAACUUUUACAAAGUACAAGGAGUAAUAGCAGAAAUUAACCUAAAUUUCAUAUGGGUCACUUACAAAAAUAAUCACUAAACUAUUCCUUUGGUUCUAUUCUAGUCACUCAACUAUAAAGGUGCUCAUGAGCCGGGCCAGGUCAGGCCUAAGCAUGAUAUUAACGUACCUUAUGCUUGCUCAAGCUUGGCUCGGCCCGAAAUAUGAGCUUAAAAUUUCGCCUAAACUCAUCCAUAUUUGCAAAAGACUAACCUAAGCUCAUUUUAGGCAUGCCCAUAUAAUUUUUAGUUUUUUUUUAAUAUUUAUAUUAUAUUAUAUUAAUAAUUAAUAAUUUAAACUUUUUUUAUUUAUUGAAACUUUUUAUAUAGUCAUUUUAACAUUAUUUUAAUGUUUACAUUAUAGUAUUAUUAUAUAUUUAGUAUAAGUUUAUUUUGUUAAUCUAUUCUAAACUAUAUAAUAUAAAGUAUCAUACACUUAAAAAUAGGCCGAGCUGGGCUUGAGCUUUGAAUGUUCAAGCCUGAACUCAGCCCAAAUUUUAAACGGGCCUAAUUUUUUUACCCAAACCCAAUUUUUGGGCCUAAUAUUUUUAUCCAGACCCUCCCAAAUUUUGGGCAGCCCUUGGGCCUUGGCAAGUAGCCCAACUCAUUAACAAGUUUACUCAACUAUUAAUUUUUUCGAUUUAGUUGUUAACCUUUUCGAAAGUAAAUAUUUUAGUCACUCUCCUGUUAGGUGUUGUUAAAUGAGUGAUGGAAAGCUAAUGUGGGCUUUUUUUAUUAGUCUAAAAACAAAUUUUGCCCUCUAAUGUUUACACUUCUAUCAAUUUGAUCCUAGAUAUAAAAAAAAAUCAAAAAAUUUAGCCCUGAAUAUUAUCAAAAAUUAGCGAUUUAGUUCUAAUUCUAAAAAUUUUAAUAUAUACAUAUAUUUAAAAAAAUAUUUUUAAUCCUCUGUCUCACCCUUUGAUUUUUUUAGAGAUAUUCAAAAAUUAAAAUAUAUCAUUAUGUCUUUUCGUUUUAAUGCUAAAAGAGAUAAAAAAAAUAGAAAGCUAAAAUGACUUUUCAUUUGUAAAGUUAAAAAAUACUAAAUAAAUCAUUAUAUCUUUUUAGUUUUAAUUUUUUACUUGAUUAAAAGAGAAAUAAUUAACGAAUGAAAAAUAAUUAUUCCCAAAUAAAUUUAUAAGAAAUGAGAUUUUGCUAAAAGAAAAAGCAUGUAAAAGUAUACACGUUCUUAUGAAAUACAAAGAUUUUGCUAAAAGAAAAAGUAUCCAAUUUUAAGAAUGAAAAAUAUAUGGUAAAAGGAAGACUAAGUGGUUGUUGAAAAAUACAAAAAUUUUGAAAAUCUAAUAUCCAUAACUUUUCAAUGUAAAAGAAAAAAAUGACUGUAACACCAAUGUUGUGGUAUUAUUUGUUGCCUAUAAGUACCAUUCCUAUCCUUCAUCUUCCUCUACCAACAUAACAUGGCCUCCUAUCUCUUUCUGUCCCUGUUCCUCUUCUUUCCCCAUCUUUAUGCUUCUUUUUCUUCUUCAGGAUCUCACUCCUGCUCUUCACUAAUCCAGUUCAAGAACUCUUUUUCCAUCACAGAGUAUGCUUCUUAUCAUUGCAAUGAGAUUGCUGGCCUUCAAUCUUAUCCCAAGACAAAUUCAUGGAAGGAGGGUACAGAUUGCUGCUCAUGGGAUGGGGUCACUUGUGACCACCUAAAUGCUCAUGUUAUUGCCCUUGACUUGAGCUGCAGUUGGCUAUAUGGCAACUUCCCUUCCAAUUCCACUCUCUUCCUUCUUCCUCACCUUCAAAAACUCAACCUUGCCUACAAUCAUUUUAAUCGUUCCAAAAUGCCAUCCGAGUUCGGUCGGUUUACAAGCCUACUCUACCUCGACCUUUCCAGUACAGGGUUUGCAGGAGAAGUCCCAUCCCAAGUCUCCCACUUGUCAAAAUUGGUUUCACUUAAUCUUUCUUGGAUUGGACAACAAUUAACAAUUGACAAACAUGCUCUGGAGGGACUUGUUCACAACCUAACCGAGGUCAGGUAUCUGUUUUUGGAUGGAAUCAACAUGGCUUCUGUUAAUGCUCAAGUCUUUAUGAAUCUAUCCUCUUCUCUAAGGUCUCUCAGUCUUUCUGGUUGUGAUUUGCAAGGAAAAUUCCCAAAAAACAUUUUUGAUUUGCCAAACCUCAAUCUCCUCAACUUUGGAGACAACCAAUUGAGUGGACAAAUUCCAAGAUUAUUGGGGAACCUCUUGCAACUCACUUCUUUAGACUUGUCGUUGAACCAAUUGAGUGGACAAAUUCCAUUGUCAAUUCUAAACCUAACGCAGCUGGAAUUUUUGGCAAUAUCUGAAAAUUUAUUAGAAGGUUCCAUUCCAGAUGAAGUAACCGCUUUUCCUAACCUAAAAUUUUUAUACUUAGAUAACAAUUUACUCAGUGGAACACUUCCGUCAUGGUUGUAUACUGCUCCCUCAUUAGACAGUAUAGGUCUCUCUCAAAAUCAAUUCAGUGGGCAUAUCAAAGAAUUCCAAUCCAAAUCACUAGAAUGGAUAGCGUUAGAGAAUAAUAAACUCCAAGGUCCUCUUCCAUCUUCAAUAUUCCAACUUCUCAAUCUUACCCGCCUCUUUUUAUCCUCAAAUAAUCUUAGUGGUGUCAUAGAGUUUCGCAUGUUCUCAAACCUUCCAAAUCUCGACCUUCUUGACCUUUCAUAUAACAGCCUAUCCUUAACAUCUAAUACUACUUCUACUGUUAAUCAUAUAUUGCCUAAUCUUACAAUGUUAUUUUUGUCAUCUUGCAAUCUUAGUGAAUUCCCCCAAUUUUUGAAAGGGCUUAAAAGGUUGGAAAUGUUAGACCUCUCUUGCAACAAACUUCAAGGCAAGAUUCCACAGUGGAUGCAAGAGGUGGGGAAUGUCUCUUUGACUUUCUUAAACGUAUCUCACAACUCUUUGACAGAAGUUGAGCACUUUCCGUGGAAUAAUAUUGCAGUUCUGGACUUAAGCUCCAAUUUGAUCCGUGGAAAUCUUCCGAUUCCAGCUUCGAAGAUCAAUGUCUUUCUGAUCUCAAAUAAUAGUUUCAAUGGAGAGGUCUCUUCUUUAAUCUGCAAUGCCAGUGAUCUUGAAAUUCUUGAUUUGUCCCACAAUAACUUGAGUGGAACAAUUCCGCAAUGUUUUGGAAAUUUGAGCAACAGCCUUGAAUUCUUGAAUCUGAAGAAGAACAAGUUCUAUGGGACGAUUCCUCCAACAUUUGCAGAGGGAUGCCAAUUGAGUAAUUUCAACUUAAAUGGAAAUCUGUUAGAAGGGCCUUUGACACCAUCCAUCCUUAAUUGUAAUGAUCUGGAAGUGCUAGAUCUUGGUAACAACAAGAUCAAUGAUACAUUUCCUCAUUGGUUGGGAAGUCUUCCACAGCUACAAGUUCUUGUAUUGAAGUCAAAUCAUAUGCAUGGUUCCUUGCGUGUCAAUAGCUCCAAGUCUAGCCCUUUUUUCUCUAAAAUCCAAAUUUUUGAUCUCUCAAGUAAUUAUUUUUCUGGACCCCUACCAGUGAGAUACAUCAACAGCUUCAAGGCUAUCAUAAAUCUAGAGAAGAUUGGUAGUACAGUGUCGUACAUGGGGGUGAAUGAUGGCUUCUAUACCUAUUCCAUUGGAAUUGUUAUAAAAGGACAAUAUAUGGAAUUGGUGAAAAUUUUCACCGUGUGGAUGAUCAUUGAUCUAUCAAACAAUCAGUUUGAAGGGGGUAUUCCAGAGGUUUUUGGGAAGCUUAACUUACUGAAAGGGCUCAACCUUUCUCAUAAUAACCUUAAUGGUGGUAUCCCUACCUCAAUAGGGAAUUUGACAAGUCUUGAAUGGUUGGACCUAUCUUCAAACAGGUUGUCUGGGACGAUUCCAAAUAGAUUGGCAGAUCUGCCAUUUCUUUCGUCCUUCAAUGUUUCUGAAAAUCAACUCCAUGGUCAGAUUCCUCAAGGCAAACAGUUCAACACAUUUGGAAAUGAUUCAUAUGAAGGAAACAAAGGAUUAUGUGGAUUUACGGUCUCGAAAGGUUGAAACAUCAUUGAGCCAGCACCUCCAAAUGUGCUUGAAAAAGAUGGCUCAAAAUCAAACAUUACUUUUGGUUGGAAAGUGGUGUUGAUAGGUUAUGGAUGCGGAGUGGUGUUCGGAAUGUCCGUGGGAUAUGUUGUUUUCCAAACUGGUAAGCCGAAAUGGUUGGUGAAUUUGGUUGAAAUCCAACAUGAGAAGAAGCGAAGAAGAAAGUCAAAGGAUGGCAGUCGCAGAAAUGGACGAAGAAGGAUCUAGUUAGUGGAAAUGAUGUUCAAGUGUUGAUGUUGUAUCUUCAUAAUUUCUUGUUUUGAAGUCUUUCAAUUUUUUUCCUAUGGUGAAAGGUUGCAUUGGCAUGCAUCUGUCUUUGUUAUUGUGACAAUUCAUCUAUAUUUCAUUGCAUUACGUGGUAUUUGUAAGGGUUUGUUUUAAAUGUAACAUUUUGUAUGGUUCAACUAUUUAUGUCUUCUUUCAUGACUUUUAUUUUUGAGUCUCAAUAAUCUCUGCAUUCAAGAUUUUGUCAGCUUAUUAAUUGGUGGAUCAAUAAUCUUCAUGCUCAUCUCAUCAUCUUUUUCUCGAGUUAAACACAGCCAAUACUAUAACAAUUUCUUCUGUGUGGAAAAUAAUUUGGCAUUCUGCAAAUUUCCACAAUGCUUGUGGAUUGCCUUUGGUUGACAGCUAUACAUAUAAAGGAAGGAAACAAGACCAUGUCAAAAUUUCCAAAAAUUAGUCAUUCAUUUUUUAAAAUUGUAAAUUCUCAAGUAAUGUAAAUUAGUCCUAAAACUCAAGUUUUGAAAUCUUUACAAUUUAACCCCUUACUAUUUUAUGCUCAACUUUCUAAAUCUUCAUAUUUCAUGAUCAUAUAAUUUAGUUACUACAUCAAUAUUUGAGAUUUCACUACUCAAACCCUUACUUCAUUUUGGUCCUUACUUCAAUUUUAUCAAAUUAAAUCAUUUUUCAAUUUGAAUGCAUUGAUGUGAAAUUGAGGGAGCACUAAACAAUGUUGAUGCGAGUUUAGGCAAAAUUGGUGGAUCCCAUCUCCUUAGUAAUUUCUUUAUGGAAGUAGCUGCUUUCACACUGCAAACUUGGAUAAUUUGUGGUGGACGAUGAUGAAUGAUUUGACAAUCAAACACAUAAUUUUUAAACACAAAAUUAACGAUAUAUUGAAAUCAUUAUUGAAAUUAUAAUCAAAAUUAAUACAUGUUUUUUUUAUUUGCUUAAGGUGUAAAAACCCUUCAAAAUUUUCAAAAAUAAAAAUAAAAAUUUAAGUCCCUCUUUUUUUUUUUAACACUCAAUUGAGCACUUAAACUUUUAAAAUGUGUCAAAAAUAUCUUUACACUUCUUCAAAAAAAGCGAUUAAACUCUUUUUUUUUUCGCUCAAUUGGGUGCUUGAACUUUCAUAAUGCAUCAAAAAGACCUUUUUUUUUCAAAGAAACAAUUAAGCCUCUAUUUUUUUCCCACUCAAUUGGGUACUUGAACUUUCAUAAUGCAUCAAAAAGCAAUUAAGGCCUUUUUCAUGCAUUAUGAAAGUUCAAGUACCGAAUUGAGUGCAAGAAAAAAAAAGUAGGGGCUUAAUUGCUUUUUUUGAAAAUGUUUGAGGGCCUUUUUGAUGUAUUUUGAAAGUUCAAGUACCCAAAUGAGUGCAUAAAAAGAACAGGGGUUCAAUUGCCAUUUUUGAAAAAGUUUGAGGGCUUUUUGCACCCUUAAACCUCUUUUCUUUUUCUAAAUUUAAUUUAGAACCAACUUUGAGUAAAGACUUGGGAAAUUUAAUUACCAAAAUUUCUUUCCAUGCAAAAAUUUCCCCUAUUUCUUGUUUGAAUUUAAAGCAAUACAAUAUUUUUCUAGCUAGUAAUAGAAAAUGACAGUCAAUUCAUUCCAAGCAAUGCAAAAUUUCCAGUCUGGUGGAAAAUUUGUUUCUUAGAUACUAUUAUUCAACUUUUAAGGCAUAAGUUUGAAUAUAGGGACUACAUUUUUAAAGUGUUGUUUACUACACACUUAGGGACCAUAUAUGUGUAUAUAUAUAUAUAUAUAUUCCAGUCUGGGUCUUUGUCGUGUUUUGUUGGUUGGCUAUGGCCUUGUUGCUGUUUCCACUGUCUGUGGUCUUUGUUUCUAAGUCAUAUGUGGCCUUGUUUGCUACAACUUAGUUGCUAAGUUAAAGGGAGUUAAUAGAGCACCAUUUUCUUCUUUUGCGUGGAAAAUAAGUUGGCGUUAUGCCAAUUUCCACAUUCAUACAUAUAAUGGAAGCAAGAGCAAGUCAAUAUACUUUGUAAUCUCAUCACUUCUUCUUCUUUCUUUGGGGAGUUCAAAUGAAAUACAAAUUUUGAGUAAAUCAACUAUUCAUUGACGGUACAAACGAGUUAAAAUUUCCAGCAUUCAUGUCUUUGUUUUCCCUCAAGUAAACGUAGUCAAUACUGCAAAUGGUGUGGAAGUAUUGUACAUUGUGGCCCAAAUGUCCAAAAUUUCCCCAUUGCUUGUAAAUGAAAUUUGGGUGAGAGAGAUGGGAGGAAGCAACAGCAAGUGUGAAGUCAAUAGACAAUUGACAGUCUUUAUUCUUUUGUGUGGAAAAUUAUUUGGGACCAAACUUGACUUGUUAUAAGGAAGAAGACUUUGUAAUCUCAUAAAUGUUAAUUAUUUUACUUCUUUGGUAAAAAAAAAAGUAAUCAAUUUUAUGAAUGAAAAAUAUAUGGUAAAGAGGAAGUAGUUGUUGAUCACUAAUAACAUGAUGAUUGUGGAAAUACAAAAAUUCCCGUAUAUGUGUUGAAUUCUGCAUAAUGUAAAUGUCCCGCAUUGCAUGUGAAUUCUGCAAUAAACUAAACUUUACGUGUUAUAGUUCUUUAAACCGAGUUAAUGAAAAGUAACCAUUCUUAUCAAAAUUAGUUAUACUCCUAAUUUAUAACAAAGGAAAUAAUAAUUUGAGUUUAACUCAAAGGUUAAUAUGUCAUCAAUGGGCGAUGGCGUGGUGCUACCAUGUCAGCGAUUAUUUUCUUCUUUGAGUUAAGGUGAUUUCACCAAUUUUAGGUUACUUUUUUACUUCAAUUUAGGUUUAUGCUUAUUAGCUUCGAAGAUUCUAAGUGGGUGCCACAAUCAAAGGGUGAGUAAAAAGGGUUAAAAAUGAUUUUUUUUAAAAAAUAUUUUUAUUUUUUUAUUAAAAAUUUAGAAUUAGAAUUAGACAAAUUUUGUAAAUGUUAAGGCUAACUUUAUUGAAUUUUUUUUUUCAGAAUUUGAACUAAAAUGACAAAUUUUGUAAAAAGCACUAAAUUUGUUGAAUUUUUUACAUUUAGGAUCAAAUUGAUAGAAUGUGUAAAUAUUAGAGGUUAAAUUUGUUAUUAGAUGAAUAAAAAAAACCCACAUCAACUUUCCAUCACUCAUCUAACGACAACUAAAGGGAGAGUGAUUAAAAUAUUUAAUUUCAAAAAGUUUAGCAACUAAAUUGGAAAAUUUAAUAGUUGGGUGACUAUUUUUAUAGUUUACAAUUUUUUUGGUCACCUGACUAUUAAGUGACACGUUUUAGUUGGUAUAAUAAUAAUUUUAGUCCUCAAUUUUUAUACUUUCUGUCAAUUUAACUCUAAUUAUAUAAAAUGAUUACAAAAGUGAAAUUCUUUUUAAAUUUUACAAAAUUCUAAAAAUUAAAUGAAAGUAGAUAAAAAUUUCAAAUAUAAAUAAAGUGAGAGAAAAUGAGGAAAAUAUUAUUUUUAAACCCUCCAAAUUUUAUUUGUAUUAUCUGUAAAGCAAUAUCUAAUAUCCAUUCUUUUAGAAAACAUAGAAAAAGGUAAAAAAAAGCUUAAGUAAAAUUAUCUGUAUAUAAUCUGCUUUUAUAAUUUGGGUUUUUAAAAAUAAAUUUAAAUGAAUUGAAAAUUUGAAUUGAGUUUGAAAAAGAAAAUUUUGUGGUAUAUUUUAUAUUUUUGCUAGAAAAAUAGCAUCAAAGUCGAUUUCGUAAGCUUUUGUAAUAUCAGUUACGGAUGUUCUUCAAGGGCAUAGAACUCAACUUGAAAAUUUUACUAAUUUGGUUACAAAAAAACAUUGAGGAAGCAUAUAAUGAUCUAACUUUUUUUUUCUGUUUUUAAUUUGUUAUGGGAUUCUAUUGAAUGAUAAUUUUUUUUAUUUCCCGUAUUUAGUUCUUCAACAACAACAUAUUCGAGAUUUUAUUUUUCUAGAAUUUUUACAUAAAAGUAAAGUUUGUAUUUUUUAAAAUAAUUUUGAGUUUUUUAUAAUUUUUAUAUAGAAUCGAGGUAAAUUGGCAAAAAAAUUAUAAAAACAAAAUACUAAAAUUGUUUAGUUAAGUGACCAAAACGAAAAUCUACCCAUAGUUCAGUGACUAAUUAUGUAGUUUACCCUUCAUAAUUAAAAAAAUAGCUGUUAAGUUUUUCUUGUAUUAGAUAACAUUUUAGAUGGUAAAAACCCUCUUUAGUCCCUCUCAAUUUUGAUAUUAAGUAAAUUGAUCCAUUUUAAAAAAAAAAUCAAAGCAAUUUAAUCUUUGUUAAUUUCGAAAGUGAACAACUAAAGAUAAUUAAUCACAAUGUCAAUAUUUUCCAUCAAUUGUACAUAUUUUUAUUGGUAUAAUAACAAAUUUAGCUCUCGAAGUUUACACAUUCUGUCAAUUUGGUCUUGAUUUAACAAAUUUAGCCCGCAACAAUUACAUAUUCUAUUAACAUUUACACAUAAUAUAUAAACAUCGAGAGCUUAAUUUGUUAUUAUAUCUGUAAUACCCAAAUUUUGCCCGGCCCAAGCCCAAGUAUCAAAACCCAAAUAAAAAAUAUACAUAAUAAAAGUCCAAUAACAUCAGUCCAGAUUACAAACCAAAUAAAUUAAGCCCAAACUCGAUUACAAAGUCCAAAUUCCCAAGCACAAACUGUUAACCCAACACUCCAGCCCCAAAUUAUUAGCCCAAAAUCAAACCCACUAAGCCUAAUCAGCCAACCCUAACCCGAACGGCCUACAUACCUAGCCCUAAAACAUUUUCAAAAAAACCUAAAGCAACUAUUUGCCUCAGCCGCCGCAACAGUAGCCUCCCACACGCGCGCCUCUCAUUAUCUUGAAGUAUCUUUUUGAAAUUGAUUAUUAAUUUAUGGGGUGCUUAAUUAUUGAUAUUAGUAUUUGUAUGAUAUGACUAAAAUAAUUAUUGUUAUUUGCAUUUACCUAUUAUUUGUUUGUCUUCUUAAUGUAUGUUUGGGUUGUUAUUUAUCCUUUUCGUUAUGUAUUGCUAUUCAAUCAUGUUUCAUUUGUAAGAAUUGUAUUUUUAAAGCACAACAGAUCAUUCUAUUUCAUAAUUUUCAAAAAGGCCUGAUGUUCAUAGCUCUCGAGAGAAUUGUGCCCUAACUUACUGGGCUUCAAUUCUUCUCGAUGAAUUUGAAUAGCCAAGUGUUUAUUGUAUUAAAACCACACAACUUUUAAAAUAAAGUUUUCAAGAUUUUAAAUUGUUGGAUCCUAACUUACUGGAUGUGGCAUUUUGUUAUCCCAAUUUUAAAAUAAAGGCAAUGUUUGACGUUUAAGAACUUCGAGAAAUCGAAACCUAACUUACUGGAUUCUGAUUUCUCAUUUGACUUAAAUGACCGAAUAGCCUUCUCAAAAUGCAUGAAUUUUAAAAUUUGAAAAUUAAAAAGACAUACUUAAUUUUGACGAUUGAAUCGUUGCACUCUAACUUACUGAGUGUGGCAAUUUAUUUCUUUGAAAUGAGUGUGUUUUAUUAUUCAAAUUUAAACUUUAAAAGGAUCGUAUUUUUCGACACUAAGACAUUAAACAAUCGAUUCGGUACCAAUUUUGGGCGUUACGAGGGUACUAACCCUUCCUCGUGCGUAACCGACUCCCGAACCUAUUUUCUCAAAAUUCGUAGACCUAAAAUUAUUUUCAAGGUGAUCCGGUCACACCUCAACAAAAGAUCGGUGGCGACUCCCAUUUUCAUUUUCAAAGUCGAUUCCCAUUUUUAAAACAUAAAAAAUGGUUUCGGCAAUAUCAAUAAAAAUUAUGUACAAUUUACAGAAAGCAUUAACACAAUGAUUAAUUGUCCUUAGUUGCUCCCUUUCAAAAUUAAUAAUGAUUAAAUUGCUCUAAUUUUCUGAGAGGAACCAAUUUGUUCAAUAUAGAAAUUGAGAGGGACGAGAAAUGUGUUUUUAUCCAUUUUAGAUACCAACAAGUGUUUGGCGUAGUGGCAAGGCAUAUUACAUUCUCAAGGAGAGAAUGCGUAUUCAAACGUUGGAGAUAACAAUGUUGUGUGGGGUAUCCACGGAUUUGAACACGGACUAUAAAACAUAUAUAAAGAAUAAAAAGAAUAACAUCUUAAUUUAAAUAAUUAAUAAAUUUUAAUUUGAAAAAAGUAUUUUGAGAAACAUAAGUUUUAGUAAGUAGUAAAAUUGAAUCGAUAAAACAUGUCCAUUAUAUCAGAAUCAUAAAAAUACAACUUAAUUAAUUUGAAUUUAAACUUAACUCAACUCGAUUUUGAUUAUAAAGAACUGAUAAUUUGAAUCCAAAAUGACAUGAUCUUGAAAUGAUUUGAAUUAAUUGUCAAACCUGAACGACAAGACUCGAAAUGAUGCAAUCCAAAAACACAAAUAAAAUGAACUAAACUAUGAAAGAAAAAAAAAACCUUACACCGACUCAAAUCCAAAAUAAUUUAAUCAUAAAAUAACCCAAAUUUUAUAUAAUAUAAACUCGAAAUAACCCAAAAAUUUUUAAAUUAAAAUUGACCCGACCCAAAUUCACACCACCUAAAAUCAAUCGUAACCACCUAAUUAAAAAGCAUGAAAUGAAAUGAUGUAAAGAGAAAAUUAGAGAAAACCAAAUAGAAAGUAACAAGCUUUUUUCAGAAUUGAAAGCAAAUUCCGUACAUUCACGACAUGCAUAAAACAACAAUGGUUUAUAGAAUUUGAGUUUUAGUCCCUGUACUUUAAAAGUUAAUUUUUCUUAAUUUAAAAAUUUUAGUUUAAUCAUUCAUGUUGGUUGUAGUUUCCAUUAGCUUAAUCAACAUGUUAAAUUAUUAAAUUUUGAUAUAAAAUAUUUACGAGUUUAAUAAUUAUACUGAGAUUUUUAAAUAAAAAAGUUGGAAGACUUAAUUUCUAACAUUUUAAAUAUAGGGACUAAAAGCAUCUUUUAACUUUGAUAUUAUUAUUAUAAGCAGGGAUAAUGUCAUCUUUGGCAUCUGUACUUUUAUAAAAUGUCUAGUGGUACAAGUACUUUGAAAAUAUAUAAUGUGGUACCUGAACUAUCAAUAUGUGUUAUUAUUAUGGUACAUGUACUUUGAAAAUGUUUAAUGUGGUACCUAAACUAUCAAUAUAUAUUUUAUUAUGAUACUUGAUAAAGAUGGACUAUUAUUGGUAGCUUAAGGGGCUCUUUGUCCCGCCAUCCCUGCAAAAAAAAAAUUGGAGAAUUUUGUUUUUUCCUUUAAAAUUUUUAGAAAAUUUCAAUUAAGCCCUCAAAAUUUUUGAAAAUUUUCAUUAUACCUUUUAAUUUUUUAAAAAAUUUUAAUUAAGCACUCUUAAAUUUUGAAAAUUCUCAUUAAUCUCACAAAAAUUUUAAUUUUUUUAAAAAAAAUAUUAUUAAACCAUUAAAUUUUUAGAAAAUUUUACCUGCCCCCUCCCCCAAAAAAAAACCUAGUCCCAACCCCUAGGAUCCGCCAUUGGUACUUGGUAUUAACACUGUUAGAAAAUUGCUAAAUAAACCAAUGAAAAUUUGACACAUAGAACCCUUUUUUUAAUUAUCAAGUCCACGUGGAUAAAAUAAUAGUGAAAAACUAAAUAAAACAAUAAUUAAAUGAAAUAAAAAAACAAAUAACUAAACAUAUGGUUAAUAAAAAAAAGCCGUACUUUCAAAGAUAAUAAAAAAUAUUAUUUAAAAAUCAAUUGAAAAUAUUAUUUUAAAAGGAAAACUCUUUGGAGAAGAUGAUCAUUUGCUUAAAUGGAGAAUAUAAUAUUUUUGGUUAUGCAAGUUUAGUAUUUACUUCUUUUUUAUUAAUCAUAUGUUUAGUUUUUUUAAUUAAUUUAAUUGUUUUAUUUAGUUUUUCACAUAAUGUUAUUUUACACAUGCGGACUUGAUGAAUUAGAAAAAAAUAUUACGUGUUAAAUUUUCAUUGGUUGGUCUAAUAAUUCAUUAACGGUGGAUUUGUUCUACAUUGAUGACAAAGAUGUGGAGUUUAAAGAAGUAAGAACUUAUCAACAAUAUUCGAGGUUCUGUUGUAUGUUGCCUUAUUAAAGAAGUCUUCACUUAAAAUCUUCUAUGUUGCCUUAUGUAUGUAGGUUCUUGAGUCACCUUUGCCAAAAGCACCACAUGAUACAUCUGUUACAUCCCACUGGCUUGCGAUUUAAGGCAUUCAACCAGUAAUUCCAGAAAAUGCUUCAAUUGAAGGUACCGUCUUAGCUAACCUAAAUAUUCUCUCGAAGCUAUUUGUGUUGAAGACUCUCAUGGUUCAUGUUCUUUUCUGGUUUUAUCACUUUAAUCUAAUACGAGUUAUCUUCAUUUCUACAUGGAAUUGGUAUUUUGCUUUCCAUGCAGCACCUUCUGAUGGUAAAAAGGCUGAAUACAAAGAAGAUGGGCUUUCCGUUGAUGUCAAAUUAUUUGUUAAACAUGUAUUAUCUAGAGAGCUUCAAGUAUGUUGUACAUCUUCAGCAACAUUUUUAUGUUAAAAUACAUUUUGCACAGAAUGAUAUUAAAAGACUAAUUUGGUUGUCAUGCAGCUUUACUUUGACAAGAUCGUGGACAUUACCAUGAAUAAAUCAGUAUCAAUUCUCUUUAAACAAGCAUUACUGAGUUUGGCAACAGACUCGGGAUUACAUCCUUUAGUUCCUUAUUUUACAUAUUUCAUUGCGGAUGAGGUUGUCUUAAAGAUCUUUCAUACCUCAUUAUAUAUGUGUGUUGCAAAGAACUUUUGGUUGGUUAUCUCAAGCUUACAUUUUUGCCACAUUUAUCUCAGGUUGCACGGAAUUUGAAUAAAUUCCCUCUCAUGUUUGCUUUGAUGCGUGUUGCCCGGAGUCUUCUCGAGAAUGAACACUUACACAUAGAACCUUACGUGAGUUUAUUAUUUCAAUCAUUUAGAAGUACACGAACUAAUGCAAAUAUGCUAGUGGUUUAUUUUCCACCUAUCUGAUUUUUUAAAAUGUUCUUCAGUUACACCAGUUGAUGCCAUCUAUUAUUACCUGCCUUGUUGCAAAAAGGUUAGGAAAUAAAUUCACCGACAAUCAUUGGGAACUUAGAAACUUUGCAGCAAAGCUAGUGGCAUCAAUAUGCAAAAGGUGAAGAUUUCUUUUCUUUUGGACUUAUACAUGCAUAUUCGUUUUUAUGAAUUUCAGGUGUCGAGUUUUUAGUUAUAAACUUGGACCUAUUCUUCAAAUCAUGUGUAUAUCAUUUUUAUGCUAUUUCACACAUGCAAAACAAAUGGUGCAAGCAUGCAUGUUAUAUGCACAGAAUUGUUGAAAGCUGGACUGCAAUGCAACAUGGAGCCAGAAGCAUGCAACUGUCGAGACCAGCAGCUAUCAAGCUCAGCUCAUUUUGCUUGGAGCGCACGAAUGGUUUUUGGACCAAAUGAAGCAACUGACAUUGCUGUUUUGUUUUGAUGUAAUUUAGUUCAGUUUGAUUGUAACUAGCUUUAAUAGUUAGUAGGAUUAAGUUAGUGAUUAGAUAGCUGAUGUAAAAGCUGAUAUGGCAGCUCAUUUUGUAUUUGACUUUAACUUAUUUUGGUUGUAAAUUAGUGGAUGCAGUUAGAUUAGUAGGUAACUAUCAAAUGAACAAAUUGUAACUCCUUUUUAUUUCAAAAAAUUUUGGAUGAAACGUAAUAAUGUUCAGUUACAAUUCUGGCUGUACAUUCAAGUUUCUUGCUUGCUGCUCUGCUUGUUUUUCUUUUCUGCUUCGUUUACUCUUGCUUCUGCUUGCAAAUCUCUUUGUUGCUGCUGCCAUUGUUCCAACAAGAAUACAUAGAUUAAUUACGUGUGGAUCAUUAAGAAUGCCUAUGUAUUGGAAAUUGGCCAACCAUGCUGCUGUUACAUUUUGUGUUGAAGUGCAUGCAGCUUGAUGACAUGCUGCAGCACAUAUGCUUGCUGUAACAGCAAGGUUUCUCUUUAGUUUCAUCCUAAUUAAACUAGUUGAAAAUGAACAAGUUGAUGACAACUUGAUGCAUGAGGUGUUGAAUGAUUAGUUUAGGUGGCUUGUUUAUGUGUACAAGCAAUGUUUUAAUAGUCCCAAUGCUGAUUAGUGGGGUUAGUUGACUAUUUGGUGAUGUAUUUGACUAUAAAUGUAUGUUUUUUUUCGUUGAAUGAAUGAGCUGAAUAAGCUAUCAGCCAUAUGCUCCCUUGCUGCACAUUUGUGAGCAAGUAAAAAUACUUCUUGCAUCUUGCUUCAUUGUUCUGUGCUCUCUGUUCUCUUCUUUUGCUGCUGCCAAUGCUCCAACACUAUGUUUGACCAUUGUGUGUGGCUACUUUUUUUUUACAUGAUCCAAUUUUCGAUAUGAUAUGCUUUGCUUUUAGGUUGAAUGCGGAAAAGAUUAGAACUUAAUUUCCAGCAUAAUGAUUUGUCUUGGAUAUGCAGAUUUUUACAUGCAUUUCUUAAAAGUCAAUAUUUUAUAGAUUCGGGCAUGUUUAUCACAACCUUCAGCCACGUGUGACAAGGACACUGCUCCACGCUUUUUUGGACCCAACGAAAACAUUUCCCCAGCAUUACGGAGCAAUUCAAGGGUUAGCAUGUUAGAAAUCAAACCCACUCCAAGCAUAAUCUAGAAGCAUGAGACGUGGAGCAAUUUUGUGCCAUGCAAAGUGCUGAAAUUUUAGCCAUACAAAGUGCUCCAUUAUUGAGAUGUUUUGUGGCUGGAAAUUAAGUGGAUUAAUAGCCACAUUUGUUGUCACUUUAUCAGCCUAUAAAUAGAGGCUUGAACUUGUGUUGUAAAAAAGAAGAAAAAUGAGAAGAAAAAAGAAAUAAGAGAAGCAACGUGAGUGAGAGUGAGAAGGUUAGCAAACCUUGAGUGAGUUAAAAUCUAGCAGCAGCUAGACUAUCUAGUCAUUGAGAAAAUAUUUGUAAUCUUCGUAUUGUAAUAUAUUGAGUGUGUAAUAAAAAGUAAAUUUUCGGCCCAUCACGUUUCCAACAAGUGGCAUCAGAGCUACGGUUCGGAGCUUGGUUCGGAGUUCGGUUCGUGUCCGGUUCGUGUCCAGUUCGGAGUACCUUUGGUGUUCAUCUAACAAGUCGAUAUGGGCGACGUAAUUCAGCUACAAGUUCCACAAUUGACGAAGACAAAUUAUGGAAAUUGGAGCAUUCGAAUGAAGGCUUUGCUCGGUUCGCAAGAUUGUUGGGAGAUCGUUGAAAAAGGAUACAUCGAGCCCGGAGAUGCCGCUACAGAAGCAGCUUUAUCAAAUGACGCUAAGAAGGCGUUACGAGAAGCACGAAAGAAGGAUCAAAAGGCCUUGAAUAGUAUCUUUCAAGGUAUGGAUGAAUCAACCUUCGAGAAAAUAUCAGAUGUGAAGAACGCGAAGAAUGCAUGGGAGAUUUUGCAAAAAUCAUUUCAAGGUGUAGAAAAAGCUAAAAAGGUACGCCUUCAGUCACUUAGAGCUGAAUUUGAAAUGUUAAAAAUGAAGAGCUCCGAGAAUAUCGAUGACUAUGCCAAUCGUGUAAAAUCGGUGGUAAAUGAAAUGAAACGAAAUGGAGAAACUCUUGACGAGGUAAGAAUGAUGGAGAAAAUUCUACGGUCACUCACACGCAAAUUCGAGUACGUAGUCGUUGCCAUCGAAGAAUCAAAAGAUUUGUCAAAGAUGUCGCUCGAAGAACUUGUGGGUUCUCUGCAAGCCCAUGAGCAAAAGAUGAAGCUAAAUGAAGAUAGUGAAAAUCUUGAUCAAGCCUUGCAUAGCAAGUUGUCCGUCGACGACGGAGAAACAAGUAAUAACUUUAACCAAGGAAGAGGAAACCGCAGAGGAUACCGUGGAGGCUACCGUGGUGGAAACAGAGGAGGAAGAGGAUCACGAGGACGUGGAAAUCAAUCAUAUGGGAGAUAUCAAGAAAAUAAAGAUUAUCAAACAUCCAACCGUGGACGUGGAUCUAGAGGUCGUGGCCGAGGCAGAUUUCAAGAAAAUAAAUCUCAGGUACAAUGCUACAACUGUAACAAGUAUGGACAUUUCAGUUACGAGUGCAGAUCAACACACAAAGUGGAUGAAAGAAACCAUGUAGCAGUCAUAGCAGAAGGCAACGAAAAAGUGGAAUCAAGUGUCUUUCUCACUUACGGAGAAAAUGAAGAUCGCAAGAGAAGUGUGUGGUAUCUCGACAACGGUGCAAGCAACCACAUGUGUGGAAGAAAGGAGCUGUUCACAGAAUUAGAUGAAACAGUUCAUGGACAAAUAACUUUUGGAGACAACUCACAUGCAGAAAUCAAAGGAAAGGGCAAGGUUGUUAUAACACAAAGGAAUGGAGAGAAGAAGUACAUCUCAGACGUUUACUACGUACCAGCUUUGAAGAGCAACCUGAUCAGUCUUGGUCAACUCCUAGAAAAAGGAUAUGAAGUUCAUAUGAAAGACCGCUCACUCGCCAUCAGGAACAAAAGUGGAGAAUUAGUUGUUCGAGUUGAUAUGACGCGAAAUCGUCUUUUCACCCUCGACAUCGAGUCUGGAGAAGUAAAAUGCAUGAAGACGGAUCUGAAGAAUGAAUCAUGGUUGUGGCACUUAAGGUACGGACAUCUCGGAUUUUCUGGCUUGAAGCUGUUGUCGAAGACAAAUAUGGUGAAUGGAUUACCAAGUAUUAAUCAUCCAGAUCAACUGUGUGAAGCCUGUGUCAAAGGAAAGUAGCAUAGGCAGAAAUUUGAAGUAGGAAAAUCUCGAAGAGCUAGAAGACCAUUGGAAAUUGUACACACCGACAUAUCUGGUCCGUACGACAUUGAAUCACUCGGUGGAAACAGGUACUACCUAACUUUUAUUGAUGAUUAUAGCAGAAAAUGUUGGGUUUAUUUUCUCAAAGCAAAAUCGGAAGCCCUAGAAAAAUUCAAGGAGUUCAAAGCAAUGGUGGAAAAACAGAGUGGUCGAUAUUUGAAGAUACUCAGAUCCGAUAGAGGAGGCGAGUAUACUGCAAAGCUUUAUGAAAGUUUCUGCAAAGAUCAUGGAAUCAUUCAUCAGUUAACAGCCAGACGCACUCCACAACAAAACGGAGUUGCAGAAAGGAAGAAUCGGACAAUUCUGGAUAUGGCAAGAAGCAUGAUAAAAGGUAAACACCUUCCGAGAAAUUUCUGGGCUGAAGCCGUUGAAUGCGCAGUUUAUCUGUUGAAUCAAUGUCCAACAAAAAGUGUAAGACACAAGACACCAGAAGAAGCAUGGAGCGAUCACAAGCCAAGAGUUGGACACCUCAAAAUUUUUGGAUGCAUUGCAUAUGCACACGUUCCUGAGCAACAGAGGAAAAAGCUUGACGAUAGAGGAGAGAAGUGUAUCUUUAUAGGCUAUGACAAAAGAAGUAAGGCCUACAGACUUUAUAAUCCUCUUACUAAGAAAUUGAUUAUCUCAAGAGAUGUCGAGUUCGAUGAAGCGGAUUACUGGAGAUGGAGUGAAGAAGAAAAGAAAGUGGAAGGAUUAUUUUUCAACGAAGACGACAAUGAUGUCAUCAACCAAGAAGAACAAGGCGAUGAUCAAAGUCCUGGUACAACAGCCCCUUCGUCACCAACCAGCAGCAGCGGAAGCAGCAGCUCAGAUGAAGCACCCACAAGAACACGGAGUCUCAACGACAUCUACAAUUCUACGGAACCUGUAGAGACGCAGUUCGAUUAUUCACUAUUCUGUCUAAUGACAGAAUGUGAUCCAGUGACAUACGAAGAAGCAAUUGAAGACAAUAAAUGGAAGAAGGCCAUGGACGAGGAGAUUGCUGCAAUAAGAAGGAAUGACACGUGGGAGCUAACAAGUCUGCCAGAAGGACAUAGCCCGAUUGGUGUCAAGUGGGUGUACAAGACGAAGACCAACAAAGAAGGAAAAGUAGAGAAAUACAAGGCAAGACUAGUCGCCAAAGGCUACAAGCAAAGACAAGGAGUGGACUAUGAUGAAAUAUUUGCUCCAGUCGCAAGAAUAGACACAAUUAGGCUUCUCAUAGCGGUCGCAGCACAAUACAAAUGGAAAAUCUAUCAGAUGGACGUCAAGUCUGCAUUCCUGAAUGGCUACUUGGAGGAGGAAGUCUACAUAGAACAACCACCUGGAUAUAGCAUACAAGGAAAGGAGGACAAAGUCUACCGAUUAAAGAAAGCUUUGUAUGGAUUGAAGCAAGCCCCAAGAGCAUGGAACACAAGGAUCGACGAGUACUUCCGAAGAAAUGGAUUCAUCAAAAGCCCGCACGAGCACACCCUGUACACAAAGAAGAAUGGAUAUGGAGAUAUCAUGAUCGUAUGCCUAUAUGUGGAUGACAUGAUCUUCACCGGAAACAAUCCAGGUAUGUCUGAUGAUUUCAAGAAAGCUAUGACUAAAGAAUUUGAAAUGACAGAUAUCGGUGAGAUGUCAUACUUUCUUGGAGUCGAGGUGAAACAAAUGCAAGAUGGAAUUUUUGUCUCUCAAAAGAAGUAUGCGGAGCAGAUUUUGAACAAGUUCAAAAUGAAGGAUUGCAAGCCAGUAGUCACGCCAGCUGAUCCAGGGAUGAAGCUAAGUGUUGAUUCGACAAGGGAGUCGAUAAAUCCGACGUUGUUUAAAAGUCUCGUUGGAAGUUUAAGGUAUUUGACAAUCACACGACCAGAUAUUACAUAUGCAGUAGGAUUGGUGAGCAGAUUCAUGGAGAAGCCGAAGCAAGACCACUUAAUUGCCGCAAAAAGAAUUUUGAGAUAUAUCAAAGGUACGAUGAACCAUGGUUUAUUCUAUACCCACUCACAAGAUUCAAAAUUAGUUGGCUACUCAGAUAGCGAUUAUGGGGGAGACUUGGAUGAUCGGAAAAGCACUUCCGGAUAUGCAUUCCACAUCAAUUCCGCAGUUUUUUCAUGGUCGUCAAAGAAGCAACAAACAAUUGCUCUCUCAACAUGUGAAGCAGAGUAUAUGGCCGCAGCAACUUGUACAUGCCAAGCAAUGUGGUUGAAGAAUAUUUUGGGAGAAAUAGGUGUUUCAAAUGAAGGUCCAAUUACCAUCUACGUUGACAACAAAUCCGCUAUAUCACUUGCCAAGAAUCCGGUGUCGCACAGCCGAAGCAAGCACAUCGAUACGAAGUAUCAUUUUAUCCGAGAGCAAGUGAAAAACAAAAACGUGGAGUUGGUCCAUUGCAGGACAGAAGAUCAACUGGCAGAUAUUUUCACAAAGCCGUUGAAAGUGGAGACAUUCAACAAAUUCAAAGAGAAGCUCGGUAUGAAAGUUGGGUUUGAGGGGGAGUGUUAGAAAUCAAACCCACUCCAAGCAUAAUCUAGAAGCAUGAGACGUGGAGCAAUUUUGUGCCAUGCAAAGUGCUGAAAUUUUAGCCAUACAAAGUGCUCCAUUAUUGAGAUGUUUUGUGGCUGGAAAUUAAGUGGAUUAAUAGCCACAUUUGUUGUCACUUUAUCAGCCUAUAAAUAGAGGCUUGAACUUGUGUUGUAAAAAAGAAGAAAAAUGAGAAGAAAAAAGAAAUAAGAGAAGCAACGUGAGUGAGAGUGAGAAGGUUAGCAAACCUUGAGUGAGUUAAAAUCUAGCAGCAGCUAGACUAUCUAGUCAUUGAGAAAAUAUUUGUAAUCUUCGUAUUGUAAUAUAUUGAGUGUGUAAUAAAAAGUAAAUUUUCGGCCCAUCACGUUUCCAACAUAGCAUCCCUUGGACCCAGUGUGGUAUAAUUCUAAUCUCAAAUAUUUACUAGCAACACAAUAAGAUACUGGUUUGUGGGAUCAAUUGGUCAAAGAUAUUGCAAUGAUAGCCAUCUUUUUAAGUCCAUUUCUUUCAGAAAACUGUUUUGUCACUCUUUUCUGCAAGAUCCGAAGAAAGAAAGAACUUGGAAAUCUAUAGUCCAAAAGUGUAAAUAUGCGGUUUCUCUAUAGGUAUCUUUAUUAUGGCAUCUGUAAAGUUUGUCUUUCAUAUGUUUGAGUAACGCUUCUUCUUCCAUAUGUAGGUUCGUUUACUUAUACUACCAAAUCUUGAAGCGUAUUUGCAGCUUUUUGAACCUGAAAUAAAAAGACACGAGGCCUGGUGUGUUUAUGGGGCACUGCUGGUAAGUUUAACAUCAAAUUUGGUACCAGUUUAUGAGCAUCGUUUCAUUUAUUUGCUGUAGAACUAACAACACUGCAUAAAAUUUCCACUAACAGCGUGCAGCUGGACUGUGCAUGUAUGAUCGGCUUAAAAUGUUACCCAGUUUGCUAGCACCCUCAACUCGUCCCGUCUGGAAAAGCAACACCAAAGUUGCGACAAGUAUGAUUUCUUCGAACCAUCAUAUUUACACUUAAUCCACAAAUCUCUUCUCCCCCUUUACGAUAUUCCUUUUUCUGAUCAAUCAAGAUAAACGAAAAGCAAGCACGGACACCUUGAUGCAGCAGCAACCAACUGCCAAGAAAAUAGCAACUGAGAGUGCAAUAGGUAUGAUGCCGAUAAAUUCCAUGCAAACUGAUUUACAAGGGGCAGUUAGCGGCUUUUCUACCACCGUAGGAGGUUCCAGUAUCUGUGUAUCAUCAAUGUCACGGCCGUUAUCAAACGAUAACAUGCUUGGAAGGGAGGUUGGGGGUCGAGUUUCAAAGACAUCAACCGUUCUAGCUCAGGCUUGGAACCGGGGAACUUGUUAGCAUCAUUAUUUGAACUUUUUGGUGAAAGUAUGUUAUCAUUUACUCCCAAACCUGAGCUUUCAUUCUUCCUUUGAUUAAAUUUCACCUCCAAAAGCUAUGGUUUUUGAAGGAAUUUGUGUAAUUAAUCCCCAUAGUUUUUUUCAGUCUUACUGUGUUUAUCUUUAUAAGUCUUCUUUCUUUUUUUUCCUUGCUCAUAAAUGUAUUGUAGUUAUCAAAAAAUAUAUUCUACUUUGGAUUUUAUUUAUAUUAAAUUUUACGUUAAAUUCUGCUAUUAGUCUCUGUACUUUACGAAAAUGAUGGAUUUAGUCCUUAUACCUUAAUUUGAUCAAUUUUAGUCAUUGUAUUUUUUGAAUUGGUCAAUUUUAAACUAUCUACCUUUUAAAUUUUGAAAUUUUAGUCUUGACCCAAAUAAUAAUAAUAAUAAUAAUUAAAUCUGCUUAUUUAAAUUCAAUUAUUAGUUUUGUAUUAUGUAGACAGAUAUAGAUUUAAUCCAUAUUUUUCAAUUGGGUCAUUCCAAGUCUUUAUACUUUUCAAAUUUUGAAAUUUCAAUAUUGAUGCAGAACGAGAGUUGUUAUUAAUUAAUUGAUUAUUUAGCAAGUAUAUGUAGAAAUAACAAGUUGGCAUGUCAUUAUACUUAAAAAAAUAUAUUGGCUUAACCCACCUAAAUUAUGUCUUUUUUUCCAUCUUCGGACCUCAAUUUUUUUAGGGUCAUAAGUGGUACCUAAACUACUUUUUUUCUCCUUCAAAUUAGUAUCUUCAUUAGUUAAACCGUUAAGUCUAUUUAAAAAAGAAAGACUCGAACAACAAAUUAAUACCUAAAACAAUGCUCUUUUUCCCAAUGUAUCUAAUUUUUAUUUUGGCCAUAAGUACUACUAAAACUAUUCUUCCGUUACUCGUUUUACACAAAAUGUUAUAUCGGCUAAAAAGAUUGCAACAAAUAAUAGAUUGUAUGUCAUAUAAACUUUUAAAAAUAAUUAUUAAUUAAUUAUUUUUUAUAUUUUUCUUUCUUAUUCCUUUAUAAUGUUUGACAAUGCCGAUAAUGUUUGAAAUUGGCCCACUUGAGGUCGAAACGCUGGUGAUUAAUUUUGGUUUUGAAUUUCACCACCUAUUUCUCUGACCUGAGGGGAUAAAAAAUGUUCUUUCAUUGAUCAAAACUAGUGUUUUCAAAAACAGACUGAUUCAACCGGAAAUAGGGGUUGAAUCAUUGACUUGCGAGCAAAAACAAAUCAGUUGAACUAAGCUAAAAAAAACUAGUUGAACUAGUUCUCUCUAUUUAUAUAUAUAAAAAUAAUAAUAGUCUUUUUUUUAUUACAUGUCAAUUUUUAUUUGGUUAUUUUUUUUUCAUAUAAACUGAACGGUUUGACUAAUGACGGAGGUACCAAAUUAUAGUCUAGGUACCAAUUUAUGGGUUAAGCCUAUUUCUAAAAUAGACUUUUGACUAAUGGCGGUAGUAACUUGGGAAAAAAAAGUAGUUUAUGUACCACUUGUGACCAAAAAUAAGUUUAGGUACCAACAUCGUAAAAUGAGUAUAAUUUAGAUACCGAUUUAUGAGUUAAGCCUAAUAUAUUUGUCGCAUCAUUUUUUAAAAAUAACAGAACUUAAUAAAUUUAACGAUUAUUGUUUGAUGAUGACUAAAAUUUUAAAAUUUGAAAAGUACAUGAACUAAAAAUGACCAAAUUAAAGUAUAAAGAUUAAGUCCACAACUUUUGCAAAGUACAAGGACUAAUAGCAGAAAUUAACCUAAAUUUCAUAUGGGUCAAUUACAAAAAUAAUCACUAAGCUAUUCCUUUGGUUCUAUUCUAGUCAUUCAACUAUAGAGGUGCUCAUGAGUUGGGCCAGGUCAGGCCUAAGGAUGAUAUUAACGUACUUUAUACUUGCUCAAGCUUGGCUCGGCCCGAAAUAUGAGCUUAAAUUUUCACCUAAACUCAUCCAUAUUUGCAAAAGACUAACGCAAGCUCAUUUUAGGCAUGCUUAUAUAAUUUUUAGUUUUUGUUUAAAUAUUUAUAUUAUAUUAUUUUAAUAUUUAAUAAUUUAAACAUUUUUUAUUUAUUGAAAAUUUUUAUAUAGUCAUCUAAUUAACAUUAUUUUAAUGUUUACAUUAUAGUAUUAUUAUAUAUUUAAUAUAAGUUUAUUUUUUAAUCUGUUCUAAAUUUUAUAAUAUAAAGUAUUAUACACUUAAAAAUGGGCCGGGCUGGGCUCGAGCUUUGAAUGUUCAAGCCUGAACCCAGCCCAAAUUUUAAACGGGCCUAUUUUUUUUUUACCCAAACCUAAUUUUUGGGCCUAAUAUUUUUAUCCAGACCCUCCCAAAUUUUUGGACCUUGCCAAGUAGCCCAACUCAUUAACAAGUUUACUCAACUAUUAAUUUUUUCGAUUUAGUUGUUAACCUUUUCGAAAGUAAAUAUUUUAGUCACUCUCCUGUUAGUUGUUGCUAAAUGAGUGACGGAAAGCUAAUGUGGGUUUUUUUUAUUAGUCUAAUAACAAAUUUAGCCCUAAAUGUUAACAAAACUUGUCAUUUUAGUUCAAAUUCUAAAAAUUUUAAUAAAUUUAACCCUUAAUAUUUUCAAAAAUUAGCAAUUUAGUUCUAAUUCUAAAAAUUUUAAUAUAUAUUUAAAAAAAUAUUUUUAAUCCUCUGUCUCACCCUUUGAUUUUUUUAGAUGAGCUAAAAUCAAAACAUAUCGUUAUAUCUUUUUGUUUUAAUGCUAAAAGAGAUAAAAAAAAUGAAAAGCUAAAAUGACUUUUCGUUUGUAAAGUUAAAAAAUGCUAAAUAAAUCAUUAUGUCUUUUUAGUUUUAAUUUUUUACUUGAUUAAAAGAGAAAUAAUUAACGAAUAAAAAAUAAUUAUUCCCAAAUAAAUUUAUCAAAAUUUAUAAUAAAUGAGAUUUUGAAUUUAUCAAAAUAUAUAUAAGUAUACACAUUUUUAUGAAAUAUAAGAUUUUGCUAAAAGAAAAAGCAUACAAAAGUAUACACCUUUUUAUGAAACACAAGAUUUUGCUAAAAGAAAAAUAUAUGGUAAAAGGAAGACUAAGUGGUGGUUAAAAAAUACAAAAAAUUUUGAAAAUCUAAUAUCCAUAACUUUUCAAUGUAAAAGAAAAACAGACUGUAACACCAAUGUUGUGGUUUUAUUUGUUGCCUAUAAAUGCCAUUCCUAUCCUUCAUCUUCCUCUACCAACAUAACAUGGCCUCCUAUCUCUUUCUCUGCCUAUUCCUCUUCUUUCCCCAUCUUUAUGCUUCUUUUUCUUCUUCAGGAUCUCACUCCUGCUCUUCACUAACCCAGUUCAAGAAUUCUUUUUCCAUCACUCAGACAGAGGGUGCUUCUUUGUCUUGCAAUGAGAUUGCUGGCCUUAAAUCUUAUCCCAAGACAAAUUCAUGGAAGGAGGGUACAGAUUGCUGCUCAUGGGAUGGGGUCACUUGUGACCACCUAAAUGCUCAUGGUAUUGCCCUUGACUUGAGCUGCAGUUGGCUAUAUGGCAACUUCCCUCCCAAUACCACUCUCUUCCUUCUUCCUCACCUUCAAAAACUCAACCUUGCCUUCAAUGAUUUUAAUCUUUCCAAAAUUCCAUCCGAGUUCGGUGGGUUUACAAGCCUAUUCUACCUCAACCUUUCUCAUACAGGGUUUGCAGGACAAGUCCCAUCCCAAGUCUCCCACCUGUCAAAAUUGGUUUCACUUGAUAUCUCCUCUUCGAUUUAUGACUAUGAGAAAUUUACAAUUGACAAACAUGCUCUGGAGGGACUUGUUCACAACCUAUCCGAGGUCAGACAUCUGUUUUUGGAUGGAAUGGACAUGUCUUCUGUUAAUGCUCAUGUCUUCAUGAAUCUAUCCUCUUCUCUAAGGUCUCUCAGUCUUGCUUAUUGUGAUUUGCAAGGAAAAUUCCCAAAAAACAUUUUUGAUUUGCCAAACCUCAAUCUCCUCAACUUGGGAAGCAACCCAAUCCUCAGUCUUGAUCCUUUGAAGUUGAAUCGGAGCAGCAAUCUUGAACAUUUGGAUCUGUCGUCCAUGUCCUUCUCUACAGAAUUCAUUGAUUCAGUUGAUAAUCUACAGGCCUUAAAGUACUUAGAUCUAUCAGGACAUUUUUUCUCUCAACGAUUGUCUGUCUCAAAAACAAAAUCGGGGUACUUGUUUACUGGAGACGCAAAUUUUUUUGGAGGAUUGCCUGACUCGAUGGGGAAUCUUGUGUCUUUGAAGUUUUUAGAUCUCUCCUAUUCCAACUUAUCAGGAACGGUUCCAAGAUCACUGGGGAAUCUCUUGCAACUCACUCAUUUAGACUUGUCGGGGAACCAAUUUAGUGGACAAAUUCCAUCGUCAAUUCUAAACCUAACGCAGUUGGAAUACUUGAAAAUAUCUGAAAAUUCAUUAGAAGGUUCCAUUCCAGAUGAGGUAACCGCUUUUCCUAAUUUAAUAUAUUUAUACUUAGAUAACAAUUUACUUAAUGGAAUACUUCCGUCAUGGUUGUAUACUGCUCCCCCCUUAAAGAGAAUAGAUCUCUCUAAAAAUCAAUUCAGUGGACAUAUCAAAGAAUUCCAAUCCAAAUCACUAGAAUUGAUAUGGUUAGAGAAUAAUAAACUCCAAGGUCCUCUUCCAUCUUCAAUAUUCCAACUUCUCAAUCUUACCGGACUCAAGUUAUCCUCAAAUAAUCUUAGUGGUGUCAUAGAGUUUAGCAUGUUCUCAAACCUUCCAAAUCUCGAAUAUCUUGACCUUUCAUAUAACAGCCUAUCCUUAACAUCUAAUACUACUUCUACUGUUAAUCUUACAAGCUUAUUUUUGUCAUCUUGCAAUCUUAGUGAAUUCCCCCAAUUUUUGAAAGGGCUUAAAAGUUUGGAAAGCUUAGACCUCUCUUGCAACAAAAUUGAAGGCAAGAUUCCACAGUGGAUGCAAGAGGUGGGGAAUGGCUCUUUGACUUACUUAAAUGUAUCUCACAACUCUUUGACAGAAGUUGAGCACUUUCCAUGGAAUAAUAUUGCAGUUCUUGACUUAAGCUCCAAUUUGAUCCGUGGAAAUCUUCCGAUUCCAGCUUCGACCAUAAGAGUCUUUUUGAUCUCAAAUAAUAGUUUCAAUGGAGAGGUCUCUUCUUUAAUAUGCAAUGCCACUUAUCUUCAAAUUCUUGAUUUGUCCCACAAUUACUUGAGUGGAUCAAUUCCGCAAUGUUUUGGAAAUUUGAGCUACUGGCUUGAAUUCUUGAAUCUGAAGAAGAAGUUUUAUGGGACGAUUCCUCCAGCAUUCGCAAAGGGAUGCCAAUUGAGUAAUUUCAACUUAAAUGGAAAUCUGUUAGAAGGGCCUUUGACACCAUCCAUCCUUAAUUGUAGAGGUCUGGAAGUGCUAGAUCUUGGUAACAACAAGAUCAAUGAUACAUUUCCUCAUUGGUUGGGCAGUCUUCCAUUUUUGCAAGUUCUUGUAUUGAAGGCUAUCAUAAAUCUAGAGAAGAUUGGGAGUACAAUGUCGUACAUGGGGGUGAAUUGUCCUGGAAGUGGCUUCUAUACCUAUUCCAUUGGAAUUGUUAUGAAAGGACAAGAUAUGGACUUGGUGAAAAUUUUCACCAUGUGGAUGAUCAUUGAUCUAUCAAACAAUCAGUUUGAAGGGGGUAUUCCAGAGGUUUUUGGGAAGCUUAACUUACUGAAAGGGCUCAACCUUUCUCAUAAUAACCUUAAUGGUGGUAUCCCCACCUCAAUAGGGAAUUUGACAAGUCUUGAAUGGUUGGACCUAUCUUCAAACAGGUUGUCUGGGACGAUUCCAAAUAGAUUGGCAGAUCUGCCAUUUCUUUCGUCCUUCAAUGUUUCUGAAAAUAAACUCCAUGGUCAGAUUCCUCAAGGCAAACAGUUAAACACAUUUGGAAAUGAUUCAUAUGAAGGAAACAAGGGAAAAUAAACUCCAUGGUCAGAUUCCUCAAGGCAAACAGUUCAACACAUUUGGAAAUGAUUCAUAUGAAGGAAACAAGGGAUUAUGUGGAUUUCCGGUCUCAAAAGGUUGCAACAUCAUUGAGCCACCACCUCCAAAUGUGCUUGAAAAAGAUGGCUCAAAAUCAAACAUUACUUUUGGUUGGAAAGUGGUGUUGAUAGGUUAUGGAUGCGGAGUGGUGUUCGGAAUGUCCGUGGGAUAUGUUGUUUUCCAAACUGGUAAGCCGAAAUGGUUGGUGAAUUUGUUGAAAUCCAACAUGAGAAGAAGCGAAGAAGAAAGUCAAAGGAUGGCAGUCGCAGAAAUGGACGAAGAAGGAUCUAGUUAGUGGAAAUGAUGUUCAAGUGUUGAUGUUGUAUCUUCAUAAUUUCUUGUUUUGAAGUCUUUCAAUUUUUUUCCUAUGGUGAAAGGUUGCAUUGGCAUGCAUCUGUCUUUGUUAUUGUGACAAUUCAUCUAUAUUUCAUUGCAUUACAUAGUAUUUGUAAGGGUUUGUUUUAAAUGUAACAUUUUGUAUGGUUCAACUAUUUAUGUCUUCUUUCAUGACUUUCAUUUUUGAGUCUCAAUAAUCUCUGCAUUCAAGAUUUUGUCAGCUUAUUAAUUGGUAAAAAUUAUAUGAAUAAACUUUUAUAAAUAUAAAUAUGAAUAAACUUUUAUAAAUAUAAAGUGUAAUUUAUGAGUCGAGUUAUUCAAUAAGAAAAAAAAACCCUCAUUUCAAUGUUCAAUAUAUAUGAAAUUCUACAAAAUUAAUUUCUUCUAAUAUUUUUACUUUUUGUGAUUAAGUUUAAAAUACUUUUCAAUUACUAAAUCUUAGUCCGAGCCAACCUAUUGGCUCGACUAACUAUUUAGAAAAUAUAAUAUGUUUAUAUUAAAAAUUUUAUAUUUAAAUAAAAAUUCAAGACGAGUUGUCUAGAAUUUGUGAAAAUGCUGUCCACGACCUAGCACAUAUUGGACAAUCCUAUUGAACUAGGUAGGUAGUGUGAGCUUGCCUUGAAAGUGCUAAUAAAUCCAAUUGAGUCAAGACUUAAGACUUCUUAUUCAACUUUAGACCCAAAUUGGGUAAUCAUAUUAGACGGAUAGUUUGAUACUUAAAUAUAUCUAAUCACAAUAUAUAUAAUUAAAUGAGCAAACAUAAAACCUUGGUUCUAAAACUCCAUGCUUCCUCUUUUGUUAACUUUAUGUUUAACUCUUCGGCCAACUUUUUCAAAUGUUGUAAGGUUCCCACUGUCAGUAUUAUACCAUUUUGAUCUCCACUAUUACAUUAUAAUCAUAUUAAAAAAAUAAAAAAAAUAGAAAAAAAUCAGUCAAAUGGCAUGAUAAUUUCUUUUCAAAAUUGUUCACUUUGAUUCUUCAUACAUAUUUAACUUAUUUCAAGAAAGUAUUGGAAAAAAUUAUGGCAUACAAAUAUAAUACUAACCUGAAUAUUGUAAUGGGAAUGGCUUGUUGAAGAAGGUUUUUAAGUGCAGGGAGCAUGUCAAGGUCCUUAUCAGCUUCGUUGUAUUUAAAAUUAGUUCUAAAAAAAUAAGAGUGAAAUAUAAUGAAAAUUUUAAGGCUAGCAAUUUUUACACGACAUUCACCUCAAUAAACAAGUAAUUUAUUUUAUUUUCUUAAGAAAUAGGUGACAAUAUAGAAAGAGAAAAAUUGACCGCGAGUUUUAAAACUUGAAUUUAAAAUAAUUUCUAAAAAGUAUUUAUAUGAAUAUAUUGGAAAAAAAGUUCAUCUUGUCUCAAAUUUUAGGGGAAAACUUACGUGAAAUAACCCUUCCAUCUAUAUGACAAGUUGGUUCGAAUCCCAUGGAAAGCUUUUUGAACUUCUGAAAGAAUAAAGUAAAAUUGCACUCUUAAUGGAAGACACAUGUCUACUUCUGUGCUAACUAUAAGAACCAAUACUAAAAAAUAAAGUUUUACGCUUUUGAUAUAACCAAUAAAAGAAAAAUAACACAAAAUCAAUUUUACUCAAUUGAUCAGUUAAUUCAAUUCUAUAGGAACUUAUGUUAUAUGUAGUUUCGAGUUGAAGUAAAAUAAGAGGAAUGUAAAGAACUAAAUGAAAACAUGUUUUCCCAAGUCCAAAUCUAGCUCAUUUUCAGCAUUAGGAGGGCGAAAGACAACAAAUAGCUUUUGUCAGGAGUAAUUAUGAGCAUUGGUCUUGAAAGUAGCCAAACCGGCCUCGAACUCAAGGUUUUUGCAUUUUGCGCUUCAAGUGGUUGCAGCAUCAAUGAGACACGACCUCCAAAUGUGCUGGAAAAGGAUGGCUCAAAAGCAAACAUUGCUUUUGGUUGGAAAGUGGUGUUGGUAGGUUAUGGAUGCCGGGUAGUGUUUGGAAUGGCCAUGGGAUGUGUUGUUUUCCAAACUGGUAAGGCAAAAAGGUUCGUGAAUUUGGUUGAAGACCAACAUGAGAAGAGGCGAAGAAGAAAGCCAAAAUAUAGCAAUAUCGCAUCAAUGGAUGAAGAAGGAUCUAGUUGGUUCAAAUGAAGUUAAAGCAUUUGUGCUGUGUCUGCAUAAUUUCUUGUUUAGUAGUCUGUCAGAAAGUUUUUCCUAUGGUGAAAAGUUGCAUUGGUAUGUGUCUGUUUUUAUGAUUGUACCAAUUCCUCUGUAUUUCAUUGCAUUUCGUACUAUUUGUAAGGAUUUAGUUCUAGUGUAACAUCUUGUAUGGUGCAACUAUGUAUGUCUUCUUUCUUGAAUUUCAAUUUUUAGUAAACAUUAUACUGCUCAACAUAAAAAAAAUACAUGUAGAAUUACAAAAGAUUCAAUUAUUCAAGUUCGAGUUGCAUUUAUAAACACGUGACGAUGAGAAUUCAUGAUGUGUUAUAAGCAAGAAGACUUUGUAAUCUCAUGAAUGUUAAUUAUUUUACUUCUUUGGUAAAAAAAAGUAAUCAAUCUUAUGAAUGAAAAAUAUAGGGUAAAGAGGAAGUAGUUGUUAACCUUUUCGAUUUAGUUGUUAACCUUUUCGAAAGUAAAUAUUUUAGUCACUCUCUUGUUAGUUGUUGUUAAAUGAGUGACCAAAAGCUGAUGUGGGCUUUUUUUAUUAGUCUAAUAACAAAUUUAGGCCUCCAAUGUUUACACAUUCUAUCAAUUUGAUCCUAGAUAUAAAAAAAAUCAACAAAUUUAGCCCUGAAUGUUAACAAAACUUGUGAUUUUAGUUCAAAUUCUAAAAAAUUUAAUAAAUUUAACCCUUAAUAUUUUCAAAAAUUAGCAAUUUAGUUCUAAUUCUAAAAAUUUUAAUAUAUAUAUAUUUUAAAAAAUAUUUUUAAUCCUCUGUCUCACCCUUUGAUUUUUUAGAUGAGCAAAAAUCAAAAUAUAUCAUUAUGUCUUUUUGUUUUAAAGCUAAAAGAGAUAAAAAAAAUGAAAAGCUAAAAUGACUUUUCGUUUGUAAAGUUAAAAAAUGCUAAAUAAAUCAUUAUGUCUUUUUAAUUUUAAUUUUUUACUUGAUUAAAAGAGAAAUAAUUAACGAAAGAAAAAUAAUUAUUCCCAAAUAAAUUUAUCAGGUUUUAGAUUUAAAUUAUGAGGCUAUAUAUAUAUAUAAGUAUACACAUUUUUAUGAAAUACAAGAUUUUGCUAAAAGAAAAAGCAUCCAAUUUUAAGAAUGAAAAAUAUAAAUCCUUUCAUUUUGAAUUGCAACUUUAUCCUGCCUAAAUUCCUCAACCAUGAACCACCCAUCAGGGCAGCCUCAAAAUGAACUUCCUUGGUCCGCCGGAUUCUGCGAUUGUUGCUCUGACCUGAAAACUUGUAACCCUUUCUUCUUUCUUCAAAAUCAGUUGUGUCAUUUUAAAUAUAUGAAUUAGUUUAUCAAUUAAAUAUAUGGACAUUUCAGGUUGCAUUUCAUACUGUUGCCCAUGCAUCACCUUUGGCCAGAUUGCUGAGAUUGUUGAUAAAGGGUCGACUUGUAAGUUAUUAAUUUCUAAAUUGAAAUCUUAUCAUCUUAGGUUUGCAGACAUAUAUAUAUUUAAAGAGAUAUUAUGUAAUUAAUAAUAAUGUUGAAAAACACUGUUGGAUGGUGCAGCAUGUGGGGCAAGUGGGGCAGUAUACACAUUAAUAAUGUUCAUCACCGGGUGUGGGUGCUUAUAUUCUUGCUGCUACCGAUCCAAACUGAGAAAGCAGUAUAACUUGAAAGGAGGCCAUUGUGGCGAUUGCAUGCGUCAUUUCUGCUGCGAGCCUUGUGCUUUGACACAAGAGUAUCGUGAGCUCCAGAACCGUGGAUUCGACAUGUCUAUCGGUAUGUCUACAUACCAAUAUUAUACCCCUUUUAAUUAUUCUUAAUAUAACUUCAAGUAUAUUAAUUGAGUAGCUGUAAACAAAUAUCUCCGAAUAAAUAUGUUAGUAAUGAUGAGAUAAAUUAUUGUUUGAGGUCAUUAAUUUUGUGGGGGUAUAUUUAUAUAUGCAGGUUGGCAUGCAAAUGUGGGAAGAACCCAGGGCUGGCAAUGGCUCCAGCGGUAGAAAAAGGCAUGAGCAAAUAGAUGAUGAUGAUGAUCGCUGCAUUAAUAUCGUCUUUAUAUGUAACACUUAAUUCCUUUGCUUUCCAUAAUUGGUGCCAAUUGGAUUUCAAGUUAUGUAUGUUUGUGAUUGUCAAAAUGUGACUCUGUUAAAUAGUAAAUAGCAUUUUUUAAAAGGGUUCAUAUAUAUCGUGAUACCUAAAGUUGGCAACUUCUACUUUGUAUCAAAAUCGGUACAUAAACUUGAAAAUUGUAAGUCAACUUGGUAUCGGUACAUAAACUUGAAAAUUGUAAGUCAACUUGGUAUUUUUAUAAGUAUGAUGAUGUUGGUGUAGUGUGAGGAAGAAGACUUGAAUGGGUUUGAUUAUUUUUAAUAAUACAGGAAUUUACGUAUUAUAAGUAAAUAGACACUCACAUUCUUUACGUAUUAUAAGGAAGAAGACUAAGUCAAUCUACUUUGUAAUCUCAUCAAUCUUAAUUUUCUCAAUUGUUCAGGGAGUUCAAAUGAAAUACAAAAUUUUGGUAAAAAAAUGUAUCCAAUUUUGUGAAUGAAAAAUAUAUGGUAAAAAAGAUUUGGUAUCAAUACUUCGGCGCGGGUAUCAAUACUCGAUACAUUGCUUUUGGUUGGAAAGUAGUGUUUGGAAUGGCCAUGGGAUGUGUUGUUUUCCAAACCGGUAAGGCGAAAAGGUUUGUGAAUUUGGUUGAAGACCAACAUGAGAAGAGGCGAAGAAGAAAACCAAAAUAUAGCAAUCGCAUCAAUGGAUGAAGAAGGAUCUAGUUGGUGCAAAUGAAGUUAAAGCCUUUCUGCUGUGUCUUCAUAAUUUCUUGUUUAGUAGUCUGUCAGAAAGUUUUUCCUAUGGUGAAAAGUUGCAUUGGUAUGUGUCUGUCUUUAUGAUUGUACCAAUUCCUCUGUAUUUCAUUGCAUUUUGUACUAUUUGUAAGGGUUUAGUUCGAGUGUAACAUCUUGUAUGGUGCAACUAUGUAUGUCUUCUUUCUUGAAUUUCAAUUUUUAGUAAACAUUAUACUGCUCACCAUAAAAAAAGAUACAUGAAGAAUUACAAAAUAUUCAAUUAUUCAAGUUCGAGUUGCAUUUAUAAACACGUGAUGAUGAUGAGAAUUCAUGAACAUAAGGUAUGGUUUGAGCCCUUUUGCCAUAUGCAUUUAUGUUGCAGGCGUUCAAACAUGGAAUAAUUCAACCUGCCUUUGUGUAUUCUUAAUUUUGUGCCAAACCUAUAUAUCUAUCGACAAAUUUAAGAAAAAUAUUUACAAUAGCAUUGCAGAGUAACAUAUUUAAGAUUGGAUUACACUGUCAAAAGAUUGCAGCAACGAUGAGAUUAAUCCAAUUACAGGAAUUGAUAUCCUAAAUGGCUUUUAGGUACGUAGCUUCAUUGACGGUACAAACGAGUUAAAAAUUCCAGCAUUCAUGUCUUUGUUUUCCCUCAAGUAAACGUAGUCAAUACUGCAAAUGGUGUGGAAGUAUUGUACAUUGUGGCCCAAAUGUCCAAAAUUUCCACAUUGCUUGUAAGUUAAGUUUGGAUGAGAGAGAUAGGAGGAAGCAACAGCAAGUGUGAAGUCAAUAGACAAUUGAUAGUCUUAGUGUUUGUCUUUUUUUGUCGAGUUAAAGUGUAGUCAAUAGACAAUUGAUAGUCUUAGCCCUUUUUGUGGAGUUAAAUUUAUAGUCAAUAGACAAUUCGAGUGGAACAUCUUGUAUGGUGCAACUAUGUAUGUCUUCUUUCUUGAAUUUCAAUUUUAGUAAACAUUAUACUGCUCACCAUAAAAAAAAUACAUGUAGAAUUACAAAAGAUUCAAUUAUUCAAGCUGUUUGAGUUGCAUUUAUAAACACGUGACGAUGAGAAUUCAUGAACAUAAGGUAUGGUUUGAGCCCUUUUGCCAUAUGCAUUUAUGUUGCAGAUGUUCAAACAUGGAAUAAUUCAACCUGCCAUAAGCAAGUGUGAAGUCAAUAGACAAUUGAUAGUCUUAGUCUUUGUCUUUUUUUGUCUGAGUUAAAGUGUAGUCAAUAGACAAUUGAUAGUCUUAGCCCUUUUUGUGGAGUUAAAUUUAUAGUCAAUAGACAAUUGGGACCAAACUUGACCUGUUAUAAGGAAGAAGACUUUGUAAUCUCACCAAUGUUAAUUAUUUUACUUCUUUGGUAAAAAAAAGUAAUUAAUUUUAUGAAUGAAAAAUAUACGGUAAAGAGGAAGUAGUUGUUGAUCACUAAUAACAUGAUGAUUGUGGAAAUACAAAAAAUCCCAUAUAUGUGUUGAAUUCUGCAUAAUGUAAAUGUCCCGCAUUGCAUGUGAAUUCUGCAAUAGACCAAACUUUAUGUGUUAUAGUCCUUUAAACUGAGUUAAUGAAAAGUAACCAUUCUUAUCAAAAUUAGUUAUACUCUUAAUUUAUAACAAAGAAAGGAGUAAUUUGAGUUUAACUCAAAGGUUAAUAUGUCAUCAAUGGGCGAUGGCGUGGUGCUACCAUGUCAGCCAUUAUUUUCUUCUUUGAGUUAAGGUGAUUUCACCAAUUUAAGUUUACUUUUUUACUUCAAUUUAGGUUUAUGCUUAUUACCUUCGAAGAUUCUAAGUGGGUGCCACAACCAAAGGGUGAGUAAAAAGGGUUAAAAAUAAUUUUUUUAAAAAUAUUUUUAUUUUUAUUAAAAAUUUAGAAUUAGAAUUAGAUAAAUUUUGUAAAUGUUAAGGGCUAACUUUAUUAAUUUUUUUUUCAUAAUUCGAACUAAAAUGACAAAUUUUGUAAAAAGCGCUAAAUUAGUUGAAUUUUUUAUAUUUAGGAUUAAAUUGAUAGAAUGUGUAAAUAUUAGAGGUUAAAAUUGUUAUUAGAUCAAUAAAAAACCCAUAUCAGCUUUCCGUCACUCAUCUAUCUACAACUAAAGGGAGAGCGAUUAAAAAAUUAGAAUGUUUGGAUCAUUUUUCUAAUUAAAGUCAUAGUGUAGGAGGCAAUUAAAUGCAUGCGCCACUCACGGUGGACGGUUUUGACAGCUGAUGACGUUGACAGUGCUCUUAAUCUGAGAAACGUGGAGGUACAUUUUCAAGUUUCAAAAAUUUUCUGUUUAUUGUAUUUUUUUAUUAUUCUUUUUCCUUUUUAGUUGAAAAUAGUGCUAAUUAAUGUUAUUUGUUUGACUAAUGUGAUAAUUUCUACUUCAUGUGUAUUAAUCCAUAAAUUUUAACAAGAGUGGAAUUUUGAGAACUUAGUUUUGGAAGUUUGAAUCUUAAGUUUAACCUGCUGCUUUAGAUUUUGCAUUUUGGUUAACUGGCUUGUGUUAUGUGUUUCUCUGGCAUCAGCCGAUAUGUGGAUUUGCCCCUCGUGAUGCACUACGAUUCAAGAAAGCUGCUGGGCAUAAGGAUUUGUUCUACAUUGAUGACAAAGAUGUGGAGUUUAAAGAAGUAGGAACUUAUCAACAAUAUUCGAGAUUCUGUUAUAUGUUGCCUUAUGUAUGUAGGUUCUUGAGUCACCUUUGCCAAGAGCACCACGUGAAUUUAUAUAAGUAUACACAUUUUUAUGAAAUACAAGAUCUUGCUAAAAGAAAAAGCAUAUAAAAGUAUAAACGUUUUUAUGAAAUACAAGAUUUUGCUAAAAGAAAAAGCAUCCAAUUUUAAGAAUGAAAAAUAUAUGGUAAAAGCAUCCAUAACUUUUCAAUGUAAAAGACAAAAAAGACUGUAACACCAAUGUUGUGGUAUUAUUUGUUGCCUAUAAAUACCAUUCCUAUCCUUCUUCUUCCUCUACAAACAUAACAUGGCCCCCUAUCUCUUUCUCUGCCUAUUCCUCUUCUUUCCCCAUCUUUAUGCUUCUUUUUCUUCUUCAGGAUCUCACUCCUGCUCUUCACUAAUCCAAUUUAAGGACUCUUUUUCCAUCACAGAGGAUGCUUCCUGGUAUUGCGAUGAGAUUGCUGGCCUUAAAUCUCAUCCCAAGACAGAUUCAUGGAAGGAGGGUACAGAUUGCUGCUCAUGGGAUGGGGUCACUUGUGACCACCUAAAUGCUCAUGUUAUUGCCCUUGACUUGAGCUGCAGUUGGCUAUCUGGCAACUUCCCUUCCAAUACCACUCUCUUCCUUCUUCCUCACCUUCAAAAACUCAACCUUGCCUACAAUCAUUUCAAUCAUUCCAAAAUUCCAUCCGAGUUCGGUCGGGUUUACAAGCCUAUUCUACCUCAACCUUUCUAAUACAUGGUUUGCAGGAGAAGUCCCAUCCCAAGUCUCGCACCUGUCAAAAUUGGUUUCACUUGAUCUCUCCUCUGAGUUUGGUGAACAAACAAUUGACAAACAUGCUCUGGAGGGACUUGUUCACAACCUAACCGAGGUCAGACAUCUGUUUUUGGAUGGAAUGGACAUGUCUUCUGUUAAUGCUCAUGUCUUCAUGAAUCUAUCCUCUUCUCUAAGGUCUCUCAGUCUUGCUUAUUGUGAUUUGCAAGGAAAAUUCCCAAAAAACAUUUUUGAUUUGCCAAACCUCAAUCUCCUCAACUUGAGAGGCAACCAAAACCUCAAUCUUGAUCCUUUGAAGUUCAAUCGGAGCAGCAAUCUUGAACAUUUGGAUCUGUCGUGGAUGUCCUCCUCUACAGAAUCCAUUGAUUCAGUUGAUAAUCUACAGGCCUUAAAGUACUUAGCUCUAUCAGGAAAUUCUUUCUUUCAACGAUUGUCUGUCUCAAUCACAAAAUUAUCUUAUUUGGAGUACUUGACACUUGAAGGCGCAAAUUUUUUUGGAGGAUUGCCUGACUCGAUGGGGAAUCUCGUGUCCUUGAAGUGUUUAGACUUGAGAUCAAACAAAUUGAGUGGACAAAUUCCAUUGUCAAUUCUAAACCUAACGCAGUUGGAAUACUUGGAUAUAUCUGAAAAUUCAUUAGAAGGUUCCAUUCCAGAUGAGGUAACCGCUUUUCCUAAUCUAAAACAUUUAGACUUAUCUGACAAUUUACUCAAUGGAACACUUCCGUCAUGGUUGUGUACUGUUCCCUCCUUAAAGAUAAUAUUUCUCUUUCAAAAUCAAUUCAGUGGGCAUAUCAAAGAAUUCCAAUCCAAAUCACUAGAAUUGAUAGUGUUACAGAAUAAUAAACUCCAAGGUCCUCUUCCAUCUUCAAUAUUCCAACUUCUCAAUCUUACAUCGCUUGCUUUAUCCUCAAAUAAUCUUAGUGGUGUCAUAGAGUUUAGCAUGUUCUCAAACCUUCCAAAUCUCGAAUAUCUUGACCUUUCAUAUAACAGCCUAUCCUUAACAUCUAAUACUACUUCUACUGUUAAUCAUAUAUUGCCUAAUCUUACAGACGUACUUUUGUCAUCUUGCAAUCUUAGUGAAUUCCCCCAAUUUUUGAAAGGGCUUAAAAGUUUGGAAAGGUUAGACCUCUCUUGCAACAAAAUUGAAGGCAAGAUUCCACAGUGGAUGCAAGAGGUGGGGAAUGUCUCUUUGACUUACUUCAACGUAUCUCACAACUCUUUGACAGAAGUUGAGCACUUUCCAUGGAAGAAUAUUGCAUUUCUUGACUUAAGCUCCAAUUUGGUCAGUGGAAAUCUUCCGAUUCCAGCUUCGACGAUCAGAGUCUUUCUGAUCUCAAAUAAUAGUUUCAAUGGAGAGGUCUCUUCUUUAAUAUGCAAUGCCAGUUCUCUUCAAAUUCUUGAUUUGUCCCACAAUAACUUGAGUGGAACAAUUCCGCAAUGUUUCGGAAAUUUGAGCGACAGCCUUGAAUUCUUGAAUCUGAAGAAGAACAAGUUUUAUGGGACGAUUCCUCCAACAUUUGCAGAGGGAUGCCAGUUGACUAAUUUCAACUUAAAUGGAAAUCUGUUAGAAGGGCCUUUGACACCAUCCAUCCUUAAUUGUAGAGGUCUGGAAGUGCUAGAUCUUGGUAACAACAAGAUCAAUGAUACAUUUCCUCAUUGGUUGGGAAAUCUUCCAUAUUUGCAAGUUCUUGUAUUGAAGUCAAAUCAUAUGCAUGGUUCUUUGCGUGUCAAUAGCUCCAAGUCUAGCCCCUUUUUCUCUAAAAUCCAAAUUUUUGACCUCUCAAGUAAUUAUUUUUCUGGACCCCUACCUGUGAGGUACAUCAACAGCUUCAAGGCUAUCAGAAAUCUAGAGAAGAUUCGUAGUACAGUGUCGUACAUGGGGGUGAAUGGUCGGAAUGGUAGUGGCUUCUAUACCUAUUCCAUUGGAAUUGUUAUGAAAGGACAAGAUAUGGAAUUGGUGAAAAUUUUCACCAUGUGGAUGAUCAUUGAUCUAUCAAACAAUCAGUUUGAAGGGGGUAUUCCAGAGGUUUUUGGAAAGCUUAACUUACUGAAAGGGCUCAACCUUUCUCAUAAUAACCUUAGUGGUGGUAUCCCCACCUCAAUAGGGAAUUUGACAAGUCUUGAAUGGUUGGACCUAUCUUCAAACAGGUUGUCUGGGACGAUUCCAAAUAGAUUGGCAGAUCUGGCAUUUCUUUCGUCCUUCAAUGUUUCUGAAAAUCAACUCCAUGGUCAGAUUCCUCAAGGAAAACAAUUCAACACAUUUGGAAAUGAUUCAUAUCAAGGGAAUAAGGGACUAUGUGGGUUUCCAGUCUCGAAAGGUUGCAACAUCAUUGAGCCAGCACCUCCAAAUGUGCUUGAAAAAGAUGGCUCAAAAUCAAACAUUACUUUUGGUUGGAAAGUGGUGUUGAUAGGUUAUGGAUGCGGAGUGGUGUUCGGAAUGUCCGUGGGAUAUGUUGUUUUCCAAACUGGUAAGCCGAAAUGGUUGGUGAAUUUGGUUGAAAUCCAACAUGAGAAGAUGCGAAGAAGAAAGUCAAAGGAUGGCAGUCGCAGCAAUGGACGAAGAAGGAUCUAGUUAGUGGAAAUGGUGUUCAAGUGUUGAUGUUGUAUCUUCAUAAUUUCUUGUUUUGAAGUCUUUCAAUUUUUUUCCUAUGGUGAAAGGUUGCAUUGCCAUGCAUCUGUCUUUAUUAUUGUAACAAUUCAUCUAUAUUUCAUUGCAUUACGUCCUAUAACAUUUUGUAUGGUUCAACCAUUUAUAUCUUCUUUCAUGACUUCCAUUUUUGAGUCUCAAUAAUCUCUGCAUUCAAGAUUUUGUCAGCUUAUUAAUUGGUGGAUCAAUAAUCUUCAUGCUCAUCUCAUCAUCUUUUUCUCGAGUUUCUUCUGUGUGGAAAAUAAUUUGACAUUCUGCAAAUUUCCACAAUGCUUGUGGAUUACCUUUGGUUAACAGCUAUACAUAUAAAGGAAGAAAACAAGACCAUGUCCAAAUUUCCAAAAAUUAGCCAUUGAUUUUUGAACAGUUAAACUUUCGUAUUCUAUUUUUUAAAAUUGUAAAUUCUCAAAUAAUGUAAAUUAGUCCUAAAACUCAAGUUUUGAAAUCUUUACAAUUUAACCCCUUAUAGUUUCAAACUUUACUGUUUUAUACUCAACUUUCUAAAUUUUCAUAUUUCAUGAUCAUAUAAUUUAGUUACUACAUCAAUAUUUGAGAUUUCACUACUCAAACCCUUACUUCAUUUCGGUCGUUACUUCAAUUUUAUCAAAUUACAUCAUUUUUCAAUUUGAAUGCAUUGAUGUGAAAUUGAGGGACCACUAAACAAUGUUGAUGAGAGUUUAGGCAAAAUUGGUGGAUCCGAUCUCCUUAGUAAUUUCUUUGUGGAAGUACCUACUUUCACAAUGCAAACUUGGAUAGUUUGUGGUGGACGAUGAUGAAUCAUUUCACAGUCAAACACAUAAUUUUUAAACACAAAAUUAACGAUAUAUUGAAAUCAUUAUUGAAAUUAUAAUCAAAAUUAAUACAUGUUCUUUUUAUUAGCUUAAGGGCGUAAAAACCCUUCAAAAUUUUCAAAAAAAAAAAAAAUUUAAGUCCUUUUUUUCUACUCAAUUGAGCACUUAAACUUUUAAAAUGUAUCAAAAAUAUCUUUACACUUCUUCAAAAAAAGCAAUUAAACCCCUUUUUUUUUUCCGCUCAAUUGGGUACUUGAACUUUCAUAAUGCAUAAAAAAAACCUUAAAUUUUUUUUUCAAAGAAACAAUUAAGCCUCUAUUUUUUUCCCACUCAAUUGGGUACUUGAACUUUCAUAAUGCAUCAAAAAGGCCUUUAUUUUUUUUCAAAAAAGCAAUUAAGCCCCUACUCUUAUUAAAAAUUAGAAAAAAUCAUAAAAAUAAUAAAGUUCAAGUACCCAAUUGAGUGCCAAAAAAUAAAGUAGGGGCCUAAUUGCUUUUUUUUGAAAAUGUUUGAGGGUCUUUUUGAUGUAUUUUGAAAGUUCAAGUACCCAAAUGAGUGCAUAAAAAGAACAGGGGUUUAGUUGCUAUUUUUGAAAAAGUUUGCACCCUUAAACCUCUUUUCUUUUUCUUUUUCAUAUGUGGCCUUGUUUGCUACAACUUAGUUGCUAAGUUAAAGGGAGUGAAUAGAGCACCAUUUUCUUCUUCUGCGUGGAAAAUUAAGUUGGCAUUAUGCCAAUUUCCACAUUCAUACAUACAAAGGAAGCAAGAGCAAGUCAAUAUACUUUGUAAUCUCAUCAAUUCUAAUUUUUAAAGUGUUGUUUACUACACACUUAGGGACCAUAUAUGUAUAUAUAUACAUUGCAGUCUGGGUCUUUGUCGUGUUUUGUUGGUUGGCUAUGGCCUUCUUGUUGUUUCCACUGUCUGCGGUGUUUGUUUCUAAGUCAUAUGUGGCCCUGUUUGCUACAACUUAGUUGCUAAGUUAAAGGGAGUGAAUAGAGCACCAUUUUCUUCUUCUGCGUGGAAAAUAAGUUGGCAUUAUGCCAAAUUCCACAUUCAUACAUAUAAAGGAAGCAAGACCAAGUCAAUAUACUUUCUAAUCUCAUCACUUCUUCUUUCUUUAGGGAGUUCAAGUGAAAUACAAAUUUUUUCACAUCCAAUCUCAUAAAUAAUCCGUCUUUGAACUUUCACCAAAAAAAUAUUAAAUACCCAUUCACUUCAAUUCUACUAUUCUUAAAUCAUUAAAGUUUUGUGGAAAAUAUGCUUCUUGGAUAAAAUUAUUCAACACACAUGCCUUGAAUUUUAUGCAAAUAAAAUAAAUGAAUAUAGGCCACACAUGCUUUGAAUUUUUAAGUAGUCCAUAAUUUUGUUCGUUUGUGUGCAAAAUUCUACAUUGCUUGACAGCCAUACAUACUAAGUAAAUAGACACCCACAUUGUUUACAUAUUAUGAGGAAGAAGACCAAGUCAAUCUACUUUGUAAUCUCAUCAAUCUUAAUUUUUUCAGUUGUUUAGGGAGUUCAAAUGAAAUACAAAAUUUUGAAAAAAAAAUGUAUCCAAUUUUGUGAAUGAAAAAUUUAUGGUAAAAAGGAUUUGGUAUGGAUACUUCAGCCCGGGUAGCAAUACUCAGGGUAAGUUUAUCAAUACAUUGCUUUUGGUUGGAAAGUGGUGUUGAUAGGUUAUGGAUGCGGGGUAGUGUUUGGAAUGGCCAAAAUAUAGCAAUCGCAUCAGUGGAUGAAGAAGGAUCUAGUUGGUGCAAAUGAAGUUAAAGCAUUUCUGCCGUCUCUUCAUAAUUUCUUGUUUGGUAGUCUGUCAGAAAGUUUUUCCUAUGGUGAAAAGUUUGAGUUGCAUUUAUAAAAUUUCCACUGUCAAAAGAUUCGAUUGCACUGCAGGGUAACAUAUUUAAGAUUGGAUUACACUGUCAAAAGAUUGCAGCAACGAUGAGAUUAAUCCAAUUACAGGAAUUGGUAUCCUAAAUGGCUUUUUGGUACGUAGCUUCAUUGACGGUACAAACUAGUUAAAAUUUCCAGCAUUCAUGUGUUUGUUUUCCCUCAAGUAAACGUAGUCAAUACUGCAAAUGGUGUGGAAGUACUGUACAUUGUGGCCCAAAUGUCCAAAAUUUCCACAUUGCAUGUAAAUUAAGUUUGCGUGAGAGAGAUAGGAGGAAGCAACAGCAAGUGUGAAGUCAAUAGACAACUGAUAGUCUUAGUCUUUUUUUGUCGAGUUAAAGUGUAGUCAAUAGACAAUUGAUAGUCUUAGCCCUUUUUGUGGAGUUAAAAGUAUAGUCAAUAAACAAUUGAUAGUUAAAUUUGUAGCAUUCUUCUUCCUCUUUAUUCUUUUGUGUGGAAAAUUAUUUGGGACCAAACUUGACGUGUUAUAAGGAAGAAGACUUUGUAAUCUCAUGAAUGUUAAUUAUUUUACUUCUUUGGUAAAAAAAGUAACCAAUUUUAUGAAUGAAAAAUAUUAUGUGGUAAAAAGGAAGUAGUUGUUCAUCACUAACAAUAUGAUGAUUGUGGAAAUACAAAAAAUCCCAUAUAUGUGUUGAAUUCUGCAUAAUAUAAAUGUCCUGCAUUGCAUGUGAAUUCUGCAAUAGACCAAACUUUACGUGUUAUAGUCCUUUAAACUGAGUUAAUGAAAAGUAACCAUUCUUAUCAAAUUUAGUUAUACUCUUAAUUUAUAACAAAGGAAAGAGUAAUUUGAGUUUAACUCAAAGGUUAAUAUGUCAUCAAUGGGUGAUGGCGUGGCGCUACCAUGUCAGCGAUUAUUUUCUUCUUUGAAUUAAGGUGAUUUCACCAAUUUUAGUUUACUUUUUUACUUCAAUUUAGGUUUAUGCUUAUUAGCUUCAAAGAUUCUAAGUGGGUGCCACAAUCAAAGGGUGAGUAAAAAGGGUUAAAAAUGAUUUUUUUAAAAUUUUUUAUUUUUAUUAAAAAUUUAGAAUUAGAAUUAGACAAAUUUUGUAAAAGUUAAGGGCUAACUUUAUUGAUUUUUUUUUUCAGAAUUCGAACUAAAAUUACAUUUUGUAAAAAGAGCUAAAUUUGUUGAGUUUUUUAUAUUUAGGAUCAAAUUGAUAGAAUGUGUAAAUAUUAGAGGUUAAAUUUGUUAUUAGAUCAAUAAAAAAAACCCACAUUAGCUUUGCGUCACUCAUCUAACGACAACUAAAGGGAGAGUUAUUAAAAUAUUUAAUUUCAAAAAGUUUAGCAACUAAAUUGGAAAAUUUAAUAGUUGGGUGACUAUUUUUGCAGUUUACUACUUUUUUGGUCACCUGACUAUUAAGUGACACUUUUUAGUUGGUAUAAUAAUAAUUUUAGUCCUCAAUUUUUAUACUUUCUGUCAAUUUGACUCUGAUUAUAUAAAAUGAUUACAAAAGUGAAAUUCUUUUUAAAAUUUACAAAAUUCUAAAAAUUAAAAAUUAAAUGAAAGUAGAUAAAAAUUUCAAAUAUAAACAAAGUGAGAGAAAAUGAGGGAAAUAUUAUUUUUAAACCCUCCAACUUUUCUUUGUAUUAUCGUAAAGAAAUAUCUAAUAUCCAUUCUUUUAGAAAACAUAGAAAAAAGUAAAAAAAAAAAGAUUCAGUAAAAUUAUCUGUAUAUAAUCUGCUUUUAUAAUUUGGGUUUUUAAAAAUAAAUUUAAAUGAAUUGAAAAUUCGAAUUGAGUUUGAAAAAUAAAAUUUUGUGGUAUAUUUUAUAUUUUUGCUAGAAAAAUGGCAUCAAAGUUGAUUUUGUAAGCUUUUGUAAUAUCAGUUACGGAUGUUCUUCAAGGGCAUGGAACUCAACUUGAAAAUUUUACUAAUUUGGUUGCAAAAAACAUUGAGGAAGCAUAUAAUGAUCUAACCUUUUUUGUUUUGUUUUGUUUUUAAUUUGUUAUGGGAUUCUAUUGAAUGAUAAUUUUUUUUUUAUUUCCCAUACAUAUUAGUUCUUCAAAAACAACAUAUUCGAGAUUUUAUUUUUCUAGAAUUUUUAUAUAGAAGUUUAUAUUUUUUAAAUAAAUUUGAGUUUUUUUUAGAAUUUUUAUAUAGAAUCGAGGUAAAUUGGAAAAAAAAAUUAUAAAAACAAAAUACUAAAAUUGUUAUUAUAGCAACUAAAAAGUGUCAUUUAACAAUAGGGUGACCAAAUUGUAACUUUUUUAGUUAAGUGACCAAAACGAAGAUUUACCCAUAGUUUAGUGGCUAAUUAUGUAGUUUACCCUUUCAUAAUUAAAAAAUAGUUGUUAAGUUUUUCUUGUAUUAGAUAACAAUUUAGAUGGUAAAAACCCUCUUUAGUCCCUCUCAAUUUUGAUAUUAAGUAAAAUUGUCCAUUUAAAAAAAAAAUCAAAGCAAUUUAAUAUUUGUUAAUUUCGAAAGUGAGCAACUAAGGACAAUUAAUCACAAUGUCAAUAUUUUCCAUCAAUUGUACAUAUUUUUAUUGGUGUAAUAACAAAUUUAGCUCUCAAAGUUUACACAUUCUGUCAAUUUAGUCUUGAUUUAACAAAUUUAACCCGCAACAAUUACAUAUUCUAUUAACAUUGACACAUAAUAUAUAAACAUUGAGAGCUUAAUUUGUUAUUGUAUCAAUAAAAAUUAUGUACAAUUUACAGAAAGCAUUAACACAAUGAUUAAUUGUCCUUAGUUGCUCCCUUUCAAAAUUGAUCAUGAUUAAAUUGCUCUAAUUUUCUGAGAGGAACCAAUUUGUUCAAUAUAGAAAUUGAGAGGGACGAGAAAUGUGUUUUUUUAUCCAUUUUAGAUACCAACAAGUGUUUGGCAUAGUCGCAAGACAUAUUACAUUCUCAAGGAGAGAAUGCGUAGUCAAACGUUGGAGAUAUCAAUGUUGUGUGGGGUAUCCAAGGAUCUCGAACACGAACUGUAAAACAUAUAUAAAGAAUAAAAAAAUAACAUCUUAAUUUAAAUAAUUAUAAAUUUUAAUUUGAAAAAAGUAUUUUGAGAAACAUAAGUUUUAGAAGUAGUAAAAUUGAAUCGAUAAAACAUGUCCAUUAUAUCAGAAUCAUAAAAAUACAACUUAAUUAAUUUGAAUUUAAACUUAACUCAACUCGACUUGAUUAUAAAAACUGAUAAUUUGAAUUCAAAAUGACAUGAUCUUGAAAUGAUUUGAAUUAAUUGUCAGACCCGAACGACAAAACUCGAAAUGAUGCAAUCCAAAAACACAAAUCAAGUGAACUAAACUACGAAAAAAAAAAACCUUACACUGACUCAAAUCCAAAAUAGUUUAAUCCUAAAAUAACCUAAAUUUUAUAUAAUAAAAACUCGAAAUAACCCGAAAAUUUUUAAAUUAAAAUUGAUCCGACCCAAAUUCACACCACCUAAAAUCAAUCGUAACCACCUAAUUAAAAAGCAUGAAAUGAAAUGAUGUAAAGAGAAAAUCAGAGAAAACCAAAUAGAAAGUAACAAGCCUUUUUCAGAAUUGAAAGCAAAUUCCGUACAUUCACGACAUGCAUAAAACAACAAUGGUUUAUAGAAUUUAAAAAUUUUAGUUUAAUCAUUUAUGUUGGUUGUAGUUUCCGUUAGCUUAAUCAACAUGUUAAAUUACUAAAUUUUGACAAAAAAUACUUACGAGUUUAAUGAUUGUACCGAGAUUUUUAAAUAAAAAAGUCGGAAGACUAAUUUCUAACCUUUUAAAUAUAGGGACUAAAAGCAUCUUUUAACUUUGAUAUUAUUAUUAUAAGCAGGGAUAAUGUCACCUUUGGCAUCUGUACUUUCAUAAAAUGUCUAGUGGUACAAGUACUUUGAAAAUAUAUAAUGUGGUACCUGAACUAUCAAUAGGUGUUAUUAUUAUGGUACAUGUACUUUGAAAAUGUUUAAUGUGGUACCUAAACUAUCAAUAUAUAUUUUAUUAUGAUACUUGAUAAAGACGGACUAUGGUGGCUUAGGGGGCUCUUUGUCCCGCCACCCUUGCAAAAAAAAAAUCGAAGAAUUUUGUUUUUUCCUUUAAAAUUUUUAGAAAAUUUCAAUUAGGCCCUCAAAAUUUUUGAAAAUUUUCAUUAUACCUUUUAAUUUUUUUGAAAAUUUUAAUUAAGCACUCUUAAAUUUUGAAAAUUCUCAUUAAUCUCACAAAAAUUUUAAAAUUUUUUAUUAGACCCCCCAAUUUUUUUUAAAAAAAAUCUUAUUAAACCAUUAAAUUUUUAGCAAAUUUUACCUGCCCCCUCCCCCCCCAAAAAAACCUAGUCCCAACUACUAGUAUCCGCCAUUGUUACUUGGUAUUAACACUGUUAGAAAAUUGCUAAAUCAACCAAUAAAAAUUUGACACAUAGAACCCUUUUUUAAUUAUCAAGUCCACGUGGAUAAUAUAAUAGUGAAAAACUAAAUAAAAAAUAAUUAAAUCUGCUUAUUUACGAAAAUGAUGGAUUUAGUCCUUAUACCUUAAUUUGAUCAAUUUUAGUCAUUGUAUUUUUUGAAUUGGUCAAUUUUAAACUAUUUACUUUUGAAGUUUGAAAUUUUAGUCUUGAUCCAAAUAAUAAUAAUAAUUAAAUCUGCUUAUUUAAAUUCAAUUAUUAGUUUUGUAUUAUGUAGAUAGUUAUAAAUUUAGGGUGGGGUUUGGAUGGGCUGUGCUUUUACCUGCAGUUAGUGUAAAAAUAGCGGCGGUGGUGAGAUUAGAUAUCCAAGGUACCUAAUUUUUAUUUUGGCCAUAAGUACUACUAAAACUAUUCUUCCGUUACCCAUUUUAUACCAAAAUGUUAUAUCGGCUAAAAAGAUUCCAACAAAUAAUAGAUUGUAUGUCAUAUAAACUUUUUUAAAAAAUCAUUAAUUAAUUAAUUUUUAUAUUUUUCUUUCUUAUUCCUUUAUAAUGUUUGACAAUGUCGAUAAUGCUUGAAAUUGGCCCACUUGAGGUCGAAACGCUGGUGAUUAAUUUUGGUUUUGAAUUUCACCACCUACUUCUCUGACCAGAGGGGAUAGAAAAAGUUCUUUCAUCGAUCAAAACUAGUAUUUUCAAAAACAGACUGAUUCUACGGGUUGGAUAGGAAAUCGGUUUGGAAAUAGGGGUUGAAUCGAUUGACUUGCGAACAAAAAACAAAUCGGUUGAACUAAGCUAAAAAAACUGGUUGAAUAAGUUCUCUCUUUUUAUAUAUAUAUAAAUAAUAAUAGACUUUGUUUUUACUACAUGUCAAUUUUUAAUUGGUUAAUUUUUUUUUCAUAUAAAUUGAACAAUUUGACUAAUGACGGAGGUACCAAAUUAUAGUCUAGGUACCAAUUUAUGGGUUAAGCCUAUUUAUAAAAUAGACUUUUGACAGUUUGACUAAUGGCGGUAGUAACUUGGGAAAAAAAAAGUAGUUUAUGUACCACUUGUGACAAAAAAUAAGAUUAGGUACCAACAUGGGAAAAUGAGUAUAAUUUAGAUACCGAUUUAUGAGUUAAGCCUAAUAUAUUUGUCGCAUAAUUUUUUGAAAAUAACAGAACUUAAUAAAUUUAACGGUUAUUGUUUGGUGAUUACUAAAAUUUUAAAAUUUGAAAAGUACAUGAACUAAAAAUGACCAAAUUAAAAUAUAAAUAUUAAGUCCACAACUUUUGCAAAGUACAAGGACUAAUUGCAGAAAUUAACCUAAAUUUCAUAUGGGUCAAUUACAAAAAUAAUCACUAAACUAUCCCUUUGGUUCUAUUCUAGCCACUCAACUAUAUAGGUGCUCAUGAGCUUGGCCAGGUCAGGCCUAAGUAAGGGUGAGCAUUCGAUUGAAUCGAAAAUUUUCGAGUUAAUCGAGUUUUCGAAUCUCAUUUUAUCAUCCUAACUUUAUUUGAAGUUUUCUCGAAUCGAGUCGAGUGAGAUGGAAUUCGAAUCGAAUCGAAUCGAAUCGAAUAUAUUUGUUCGAGUUAAAUUUUAAAAAAUAAUUUUGGGUCCUUGUAACCAUUGUCACCCAUCGUAAUAAAAUUUGUCACCUUAAUCAAAUUUUUUAUUAACUUUCAUCACUUCAUAAUUUAUUUAUUAAUUUUUUAUAUACUGGUUAGCUUCUUUGCUUGCUUAGUUGUCUUCAGAUUCUUGUCACUAUGUAUUUUAGAAUUAAAAAAUAUAUUAAAUGUAAAAAUAUGAUUUUUUUAAUAAAAGUUAUUUAAAAAUAAAAUGUGAAAUUGAUACCAAUAUAACAUUUCAACACGAAUAUUUUAAGGCAUAAUUAAUAAUUCAAUUUUAAUAUAAAUAUUCAAUAUGACUAAACAAUUCAAUAAUAUAAAUAAUAUAAAAUGUGAAAUUUAAUUUAAUAAUAUAAAUAGUAGAUAUAAAUAAAAUUAUUGCUAUUUAUGUUUAGUGAUUUUUUUGGAUAAUUUUGAUUUUUUAUUUGAGAAUAAAAGGUGAGAAGUAAAAGUUUAGGGGAAAAAUAAAAAGUUUUGGGGAAUAAAAGUUUGAGAGAAAGUAAAUAGGGGGAGUAAAAUUUUGGAGGGAAAAUAUUUAAAAAAAAUUGGAGGGGGGAGGGUUUGGGAUAGAUGGGAGGGGAAUAAAAGUUUUAGGGGAAAAGUGGGAGGGAGUAAAAAUUUGGGAGAAAAUAAAAGGUUUUGAGGGUUUUGGGGGUAAAAUAUUGAGAAAAAAUAAAUAGGAGAGUAAAAUUUUGGUGGGAAAUGGAUUUUGGGUAGAUUGGGGGGUUGGGGGGGAGGGUAAAAGUUUUGGGGGAAAGUGGGUAAAAGUUUUGAGGGGUAAAGUUUGGGAGUUUGGGGUUGUAUAUUAGUUUGAUCUUCGAAUUAUUCGAAUUAUUCGAGUUAUUCGAAUUCGAAACUCAACUCGAUUCGAACUCGAAAUUCGAAAAAUUCGAGUUGAUUCGAAUAACUCGAUUCGUUUCUCGAAAUUUGAAUUUUUUUCAAUUUUUUCGAGUCGAAUCGAGUUUUGCUCACCCCUAGUUGCAAGUGCAACUUGCGUGGUGGCUGCCAGAAGGACUGAAUCGUAAAUGUAGCAAAAGUUUUGGGGCAAAAAUGUAAUUUUGAGAAAGUUUAGGGUCAAAAUAUAAUUUUAAAAAUAUUAAGGGUUAAAAUAUAAUUUUAUAAAAAUUUAAGGGUCAAAAUGAAAUUUUAGAAAAGUUCAGAGUCAAAAUACAAUUUUUAAAUUUUUUUUUAAAAAAUUAUUCCCACAAAAUUAAGUGAUUACACGUAACUUUUCAAUGUAAAAGAAAAAAAGACUGUAACACCAUGUUGUGGUGUUAUUUGUUGCCUAUAAAUACCAUUCCUAUUCUUCAUCUUCCUCUGCAAACAUAACAUGGCCCCCUAUCUCUUUCUCUGCCUAUUCCUCUUCUUUCCCCGUCUUUAUGCUUCUUUUUCUUCUUCAGGAAUAUCAGUGCCUGCUCUUCAUUAUCCAGUUUUAAGGGACUCUUUUUCCAUAACAGAGGAUGCUUCUUCUGAUUGCAAUGAGAUGCUGGCCUUAAAUCUUAUCCCAAGACAAAUUCAUGGAAGGAGGGUACAGAUUGCUGCUCAUGGGAUGGGUCACUUGUGACCACCUAAAUGCUCAUGUUAUUGCCCUUGACUUGAGCUGCAGUUGGCUAUAUGGCAACUUCCCUUCCCAAUACCACUCUCUUCCUUCUUCCCUCACCUUCAAAAAACUCACCUGGCCUACAAUGAUUUUAAUCUUUCCAAAAUUCCAUCCGAGUUCGGUCGGUUUACAAGCCUAUUCUACCCUCAACCUUUCCCAUACAGAGUUUGAAGGAGAAGUCCCAUCCCAGUCUCCCACCUGUCAAAAUUGGUUUCACUUGAUCUCUUCCUCUCGGAUUGAUUACUCUGGGCAAGUUAACAAUUGACAAACAUGGCUCUGGAGGGACUUGUUUCACAACCUAACCGAGGUCAGACAUCUGUUUUUGGAUGGAAUGGACAUGUCUUCUGUUAAUGCUCAUGUCUUCAUGAAUCUAUCCUCUUCUCUAAGGUCUCUCAGUCUUGCUUAUUGUGAUUUGCAAGGAAAAUUCCUAAAAAACAUUAUUGAUUUGCCAAACCUCAAUCUCCUCAACUUGGGACGUAACCAAAACCUCAAUCUUGAUCCUUUGAAGUUCAAUCGGAGCAGCAAUCUCGAACAUUUGGAUCUGUCGUGGAUGUCCUUCUCUACAGAAUCCGUUAAUUCAGUUGAUAAUCUACAGGCCUUAAAGUACUUAGAUCUAUCAGGAAAUUCUUUCUUUCAAGGAUUGUCUGUCUCAAUCACAAAUUUAUCAUCUUUGGAGCAAUUGAUAAUUUCAGGCGCAAAUUUUUUUGGAGGAUUGCCUGACUCGAUGGGGAAUCUUGUGUCCUUGAAGUUUUUAGUUCUUCUCCGAUUCCAACUUUUCAGGACCGCUUCCAAGAUCACUGGGAAACCUCUUUCAACUCAAGUGUUUAGACUUGAGAUCAAACAAAUUGAGUGGACAAAUUCCAUUGUCAAUUCUAAACCUAACGCAGUUGGAAUACUUGGAAAUAUCUGAAAAUUCUUUAGAAGGUUCCAUUCCAGAUGAGGUAACCGC
rnacentral:lncRNA from 1 species